GAGGUGGUGGAGACUUAUACUUGUAAACCGGAGGUGGUGGGGGUGGAGACUUGUACUUGUAAGGGUGCUUGGGUGGGGAUAGAGGUGGUGGUGGGGGAGACUUGUACUUGUAGGGAUGCUUGGGUGGUGAUGGUGGUGGUGGUGGUGGAGACUUGUACUUGUAAGGAUGCUUUGGAGGUGAUGGUGGUGGUGGUGGAGACUUGUACUUAUAAGGAUGCUUUGGGGGUGAUGGUGGUGGAGGUGGGGACUUGUACUUGUAAGGGUGCUUGGGUGGUGAUGGUGGUGGAGGUGGUGGGGACUUGUACUUGUAAGGGUGCUUGGGUGGUGAUGGCGGUGGAGGUGGUGGAGACUUAUACUUGUAAACUGGAGAUGGUGGGGGUGGAGACUUGUACUUGUAAGGGUGCUUGGGUGGUGAUGGUGGGGGUGGGGGUGGGGGUGGGGACUUGUACUUGUAGGGGUGUUUGGGUGGUGAUGGUGGUGGUGGUGGUGGGGACUUGUACUUGUAAGGAUGCUUGGGUGGUGAUGGUGUUGGAGGUGGAGGAGACUUGUACUUGUAAGGAUGCUUGGGUGGUGAUGGAGGAGGUGGUGGGGACUUAUACUUGUAAACAGGAGUUGGUGGGGGAGGAGAUUUGUACUUGUAAGGCUUCUUGUGUGGUGGUGGUGGUGGUGGAGAGUAGACCGGAGGAGGCGGUGGUGGAGACUUGUAAUGGUAAGGUGGUGGUGGGUACUUCUUAGGAGGUGGUGGAGGAGAAGAAUAAGUGUAAUCUGCUGAGGUUUCAAAAGGCAAAUUGAGAGACACUGCUAAAACUAAAAGAGUGAGAAAGAGAGAGGUCAUUGAUGACCCCAUUUUCCCCAUACUUCUAAAAAUGGGUUUAAUUUGGUUAUGCUCUUAGCAACCCUCUUCACUCCCUUUAUAUAGACUUUUUUUUUAACCUUAUAAUCAUGAUAAAAGUUUGAAGAUGGACCGAACCUUCAGCAGCAUGUAAAAAAGACAUUACGUUUAGGUUAUUAGCAUGGUAUGAUAUAAUAAUUCUCUAUUCUCUUCCUUGUCGUUUCCCAUAAAUUCAAUUUUCUCUAUUAAAUAUUUAUCAAAUUCAUUUCUCACUCCCUAUUAAUUCUUUAAUAAGUUUAUAGAAUAUGAAUAAUUAAUCAUUAAACUCGAUUUAAUAAAUACUUUAAACAAUUAAUAAUUUAUCUUAUUUUAUGCUUUAAUUAAGGCAUCAAAUCAUAAUCCUAUUUUAUAUUUUGAAAAUUUAUCAUUUUUUAAAGAACUUAAUUGAUUAAAAUGUGAUUCUAAUAUUUGGCAGGAAAAAUUAGUUUACUUUCCUUAGAAUGUAAUAUUCUUUUGAGAGUUAUUUUCUUACUAAUAAUAGAAAGUGAUAAUUCGUGAGAAAAUUACUUUCACAUGUAAAUAAAAAUUAUUAGAACAAAAAAUUAACUUUCUUUUAUUUAUGUUUAGGUACUAAUUAACUUAUUGAGAUAAAGAUAGUUGUAGCUUGCUUUUUCAUGUCAUUUUCUUAUCUUUACAACUUCAAACCAUUAUUCUAGAGUAAGUUUUUUUUUUUUUUUCUAAAUAGUAGAUAAAUAUCUAUAUUUUAUUUUGCUAUAAGAAAAUUAUAUUUUUUAGCAUACAAAACUUAAAGACAACUUGUAGAAUCAAGUAAUUCUAUGAAAAGCAAGCCUAUUCACAUAUAAUACCUAUUACUCUAGCAAUAAUAAUAUUGACAUUGUCUAAAUUUUCUAAUAAAAAAAUUAUAUAAUUUGUAUGUGUUAAAAAUGAAAAAUAUGGCGGUUAUUAAAAAAGAUUUCAUACAUCUAAAUGAAACUACUAAUUUAAAAAUUAGUAUUGAGAUAAUUUCAAGUUAAUAUUGAAUAUACUUGAAUUUGUACAUACAAAGUAAUGAGGGUAAAAAUUUUGUAAAUUGUACAUCUUCACAAUCUUGAGUUAAUAUACAAUUUUUUAAUGUAUUAAUAUAAUGUUUUAGAUCAAGAUGUGAAAAAACAUAACUCAAAUAUUUGUUAAUAAUAAAAAAUUAUUAAUAAAUAUUUAAUUCAAAAUUUAUUAAUAAUAAAAAUUAUUGAAAAAUAUUAAAUACGUUAAUAUUAUUUUUAUAUAAUAAUGAUAAUUUUGUACAGUAAUCUUAUAUUCUCAAUAAGUGUUAAAUGUCUCAAGAUUUUAAUUAAUACUUUUCAGUGGUUACCAAACAUUGUGAAAUAACUUCUUGAACAAUGAUAUUCUUAUCAAUCACAUUCCAUUAGAAAUUUAACAUAGGAAAGCACCAAAACAACCGCUUAAAAAUGAAUGUGCAUGAUUAAAAUCGCGAUAAGUCUUGUUUAUCUAAAAUUUAAAUAUUCAUUUUAUUAUUUAAAAUAUAUUAAUUUUCCAAAAACAAUCAUUAAUAUUUAUAUUUCUAAUUUUAAACAUUCUUUUGUUAAUUAAAUGAUAGUGUAAACGGUUAAACUCAAAUCGAAAGCAUUUUAUCUUAUAGUAGAUUAUAUGACUCAUAUUAUGGUUGAAAGUAAAAUGUAUAAAAUCAAUACAAACAUCAAAUAUUAAACUUGCACUCAAUAGAUUUUAAAAUUUCUAAUUUUACCACUAAUCUAUUUUAAGAUUUUUAAAAAAUCGUACUUUAGAUUAUCUAAUUUAAAUUUUAAAAUUAUUAAAAAUAAAAAAAUUCUUAAUAAAAAAAUUUGUUUCAAAUUUUUAACCUUUUAAUAUAAUUGUUUUAACUGGUUAUCUAAACUAAAUAAAAACUUAUUUAGUAUAAAAAAAAGUGGUAAAUGUGAAAGGAGCACAAAUCACAACUACAAUAUGCUACAUUAGUUUUAUAAUUGGAUUAAUUUAAUCACCGGCAGAGGAAAUGUGUUAGUUCUAGCUACCACCAAUUUAUUUUAAUUCCUUUAAAAAUAUUAGAAAAAAUCAAUUUGAUUUUUAAUAAUAGAUCUAAUUACUUAAAGGAACAUCGGUGAUGUCCACAUGGCAUACAAGGUUAAGCAUAUAAAAAAAGAACAAAAAGAUUAAGUAUCUUUGCAAGAUAGCUUUCUGAAAUAAAUAAAACUUAAAUAAAAACAAUUUUAUUAUCAAAAUAAAAAGAAAAAAGAAAAGAAAUACUAGUGUUUUUAAUUAAAAUAGAGUGAUCUGGGUAGAAUCUUUUACUUAAAUACUGACAUUGACUUUAUAAGCUAUUUUUUAUCAAAAGAAGAAAGAGAAAAGCAUCCGAUUGAAGAUGUGAAUUAUUAAAUUAAAAUUAAUCAUACAUGUAAAAUUUUAUUGUGCUUUUUUCUAGCCCUCCGAAUGACAUUAUGCUUUGAUUACAACAUUCUUGCUCAGAGAUCGGGUUUGAAGAUGAACUCGGAUGCAUUUAGAUUUUUACAAGUAAAUUAAAGGAUGUUAGAACUUGUAUUCCGAUAAACUUAUAAUACAGAAAGCAAGUAAUAUGUGACUGUACAUAAUGGCUAUGAGGCGAGGAUAUGAUAUGAGAAGAUAGAGAUGAGAGAUUGCACUUAAGGGGUUAACACCACUUUCCUUUUUGUGUUUGGUCCCCAAAGCAUCUCUUAUUGGCUGAUGUUGCAAGGCCGUCCCAUAAGUUGGUCUAAAAGUGCUUGAUAGCUAGAAUUAAUAUUGUGGUAUAACAUAUGUCACCACUAGGUUUGAAUAAGGUUACACAGUGAUUUGAUGAAGAUUUAAAAAAGCAUAGAGAUAAUUAUGUUGCAAAUAUUGUAAAAGUAAGAGCUAAAUUGUUUGGCUUUAUUAGAGUUUAGACUCUGUUAGUCUAUUACCAUUCUCUAUUAGUCUGUUACCAUUUUGUUAUAUAGGCUGUAAUAUUGUUAGAAAGCAGUUAGCAGCUGUUAGUCAUAGUAGUUAGUCAUACAAAUAUAAAUUCUAUUCAUGUAUUGUUCAAAGGUAAGCUAAUAAUAUCAGAAGCGAUUUAAUGUAUUCAUUCUACUUUUUUUUUAUUCUUCAUAAUACAGUUGUUAACAUGGUAUCAGUACCCUAAUUUCUUAGAGGUCGCUUCUAUUGUAGAUCCAUGGCCAAUUCCACUGAUUCUACCUCCACUGGUCGUAGCAGUCCCUCGUUCUCGAUUCAUGUUUGGUUCAAUCGUUUCCUCGUCGUCACACUGAGAAGUUAGAUGAAAGAAAUGUUAUGCAAUGCCAACAGCAUAUCCUAUUGAUAAUUGAAGGGUAUGAACUCAUAAGAUUUUUAGAAGGGACGUUACCUACUCCGCCUCGCUUUGUGUCAUCUCCCGAUGGAACCUUGGCUUCGGCUCCCGAUGCAUUCCUGUUUGUUCAGCAAGAUAAGUUACUCGCUCUUUGGUUGCUUUCUACGAUUAGUGCUCCUUUGUUGUCCUCUUUUAUAGCUGCUAAGACACCGUGUGAGGUUUGGAGCACUGUGAAUCACCUCUUUACUGUUUCCACCAGAGCGAAGUUAUCGCGUAUUAAGCAUGAACUCCACUCCAUCAAGAAAGGCAUGAUGACUGUCAAAGAGUAUAUUAUUAAGAUUCAAAAUACCUGCACCUUACUCGAGGCAUCUGGAUUGGUGGUUUCGAAGGCCGAGAAGGUAGAGAUCAUUCUUGCUGGCCUAUCGUCAGAUUAUGAUGUCGUUUUAACACUACCAUAGUUCUCUUCUGAAACUCUUCCGUUACAGAAGAUAGUUGUUGUGCUACUGAAGUUCGAAAGCCGUCAGACUCAUGUCGUGAAUGACAUACCUUUUCAUGCUCAUCUGGUAGAGGCCACUUCGGCGACAUCGGUGGAGGACUCCGUACAUGGUAGCCAUCCUCCUCCUGGUGCUCGUGGGCAUGACUUUCGACUCGGCUUCAGUUCCAGAUCUAUGGUUGCUAUGGACAUCUGGCACAACGCUGUUAUUAUCAUUUCAACCGCGAAUACAGUGGUCUAUCUGCUCUGACCAUGGCGCAGGCUUCGCUUUUGUGCUGGGCACUAUUCGUGUGACAAUGUUUUUGGUGCAACUGGUCUCUUGACCGGCUGGUUUCCAUCAGCUCAUCCUAGUUCAAACCCCUUCGAUGUGCCUGGACAGUGUGCCGAUUCUUCGGUGACGGUACCGGCGCAUUUCCCUUAUGGCUCCUCUUGGGGAGGAUGGCCACAUUUGUAAAACAAUGCCUCCCUUGUGCCAAGUCUACCGAAUGUUAGGGUUUCUAACCUUUUUGCUCCUAAUUUUAACAAUGAGGCAAGCUAAGUGUUUGGGCCCGCUGUUGAACCAGGCUCAAAUAGUGACCAAUCUGGUGGUCCUCACUUGCCGCUGAAGAUGGGCUAACGCAUUGGGCCAUUCGCUGGUGUUCCUAGGCCAACUGCUUCAGGCCAAGAUUUUGGCCUAAAUGGAAUUGGUAGGCCAGCCAGUGCUCGUCCUAGCAUUGGAUAGGGUUCACUUGGGUCAAAUGUCAAUUUUAUUGGACUUGAGGGUUCUUUUGGGUAUAGACAAGAGUUUGGGCCCACCACUGGCAAUGUUUCAGUGCCAAUUAAUAGAUCAUGUGUUCCAUGGCACACAAAAUCGAGGGCACGCGUUAUUGAUUUUGAUUCUUCGCUGUGCGUUGGGUUGCAUCGCUUUACUAAUUUUCACGCAUCCGAUUUUUUUACUACCACUGGGUCUAAUGCCAAUACAACUCCAUAUAGGUCUAAUUUUGAUAAUGGUAAUUCUUACAUUCCUAUGCCUAUAGGGACCUCAUCAUGGUGUCUUGAUUUAGGGGCUACGCAUCAUGUCUGUUGAGAAGUCUCUGCCUUGAAUAAGUCUACGCCAUACUCAAGUACAUCUCCUUUCUUCACGGAUGAUGGUAUUCCUACAAAAAUAUCGUAUGUUCGGAAUCUUAUCUUGUCUAUGAAAACCAAAUUGCUUCAUUUGUCUAAUGUUUUGUGUGUGCCAAAUAUACGGAAGAAUUUGCUAUUUGUUUCUCAGUUUGCUAAUGACAAUAACGUGUUCUUUAAAUAUCACCUGUCUUAUUGUGUUAUUAAAGACAUCCAGACUCAUGAAAUUUUACUACGGGGCUACACUCGUGAUGGGCUCUAUUAUUUUUCGUCGGUUACUCUUGCUCUGUUUGUCGUUGUUCCUUUUUUCAUAGCACUGGGAUCUAGAGUCGCAAUGCAUAUGAUGAUUGUUUUGCAUUAUGGCAUCACAGGCAUAGUCAUUUGUCUGCCUCGAUUGUUAAACUUGUUCUCGAUAAGUGUCAAGUUGUUUCAAAAUAAAAUGUGCCUUGAAAAUAUUUGUAUUGCAUGUCAAAACGGGAAGUCUCACAAACUGCCUUUUUCAAGUUCUACUACUGAAUAUACAAAUUUGUUUGAUUUGGUUGUCUCUAACUUAUGGGGACCAACGUCUGUUGUCUGUAGAAAUAAUUUAUAUUAUGUUUUGUUUAUCGAGAUGUGUAGUUGAUAAACCGUAAUUUAUACAUAUUUUUAUCCUAUGUUUGGCACAUUUAUAGAUGAUUUAUCCUUAGAUUUGGUGAAUUCGAUGCUCCUAAUCCUUUAAUUUCAUAUUUUAUACUUAGGAGAGCAUAGGAGGGCAAAAAGAGCGAGAAACGGGCCGAAAACGGAAAAAAUAGACCCACAUGGGAAAUCAACAUGGCCUGGACUUCCUCACACUGGUAAGCCACACGGCCGUGUCCAUUUGGCAGGAUCGAAGCAAGACUUACACGAGUAGACUACACGCCCGUGCCUUUUUAAUAGCCUUGACCACUGUCUGGAGCAAUCGCGCACGGGCAUGUCCCUGUCGAGCCCAAGUAUAGUCUUAUUCGGAAAAGGUCUAUUUUAAGGGCUCUUAGGCAUUCUAAAGCUUAUUUAAUCACCUGAGAAGGCACUUAAAAGGGGGGACACGGAGUAGGAAGCAAGGAAUUACUCGAAGAAAGCCGAUUGAUCCAUCUCAGAAGCCUGAUUAUUCAUCAAGACUGAAAAUCUCCCUUCAAUUACCAUUCAGGAGUUUUGGGUUUUCUUUAUGUUUUGUAUUCAUUAUUCUUCUGAGAUGUUUUCUUUUAUAAUUAUGAUUUAAACCCUCUAAAUACCUAAGGGGAAUGAAACCUAAACGGAUCUUGUUAUUAUUAUCUGAAUUAUAUGAUAAAUAUUUGACUUGUUUUUAAUUAUAUGUUCUUAAUUCUUGUCUUAAUAUUCCAGGAUAUUGAUUCAAGUUAAUGCGCUUAUUCAGAGGAGCAAAAGUCCCUGUCUAAGAGUAAAUUUGUCAUAAUUAAACAGAGUUGAUUGCACACCUAAAGAUAGGGUAACAAGAUUUUGCCGAAUUAGGGUGAAACCUAAUAAGGAGAUCCAUAGAUCGAGUUAAUGCAACACUAGGGCGUUAAAUAGAAAGAGAUUUCAAUUAAUCAACCUAGGGUUAGAUGUUAUUAGUCUUGAGAGAGAUAAUAAUAUAACUUAGGGAUUUGUACGGAUCAUGUCAAAUGGAUAAAUCGACUGAUUCAGAGUCAAAUAACAAGUGAAGUCUAGGUGGAUUUUUCCUUGGGUAUUGUCCUAAUCAAGCGAAUUUUCUAAAAGUAUUUUCCCCAAUUUUUCAAGCGAAUUUUCUAAAAGUAUUUUCCCCAAUUUUCUUUCUCUGCACCCUUAGUUUAGUUAAUUAGUUUUAAUAAACAAAUCCUUUAAUUUUUAGGUUAGAUAAUAAAAAGAAAGUGAUUACUAGUACUCUUGGUUCCUUUGGGUUCGACAAUUCGGUCUUGCUAAAGCUAUAUUACUGUUCGAUAGGUACACUUGUCUUUAUCGUGAUAAUAGUUGGUUUCAAUAACGAUCAUUUCUAAAUUAUUUAAAACUUAUCGCAAGUAUCAUGAAUCAAGUUUUUGGCGCCGUUUCCGGGGAACUAAGAUAUUAGGAACACUUGAUUUUUAUUACUUUAGCCAUUUUUCUUUAUUUUUACUUUAAAUUUUUAUUUUCUUUUCUAAUUUUUCUUUUAUUUGUUCCUGACAGGUUUUUAUAGUUUAUGAUUAGAAGAAACCCGUCGGGACCAUUACUGUUUGAUAGUGAGAUCGAUCGCACAGUUCACAGAAACCAAAGAAAAAUAAGACGAAGCUUAAGAUACAAAAAGGAAGAGUAAGACGACGAUACUUCAACCACAAUCGAGAAGAUGGCUGAAAACCAGGAAAAUUUGCUACCUCCUGUGAUUUCUGCUGAUCCAGUAAAUCAGAAUCCUACUCCACGCACUAAGUAUGAUUAUGCUAAACCUACUUUAACAGGAACUGAGUCAAGUAUAGUUAGGCCUGCUAUUGCUGCGAAUAAUUUUGAACUGAAACCUAACACAAUUGAAAUGAUACAGCAAUUUGUUCAGUUUGAUGGUUUGCAGGAUGAGGAUCCAAACAACCACUUGGAAAAUUUUCUAGAGUUUUGCGAUACAUUUAAAAUCAAUGGCGUUUCUACUGAUGCCAUUCGCCUUCAGUUAUUCCCUUUUUCAUUGAGGAACAAAGCUAAACAGUGGUUGAACUCGUUACCACAAGGGUCAAUCACUGCUUGGGAACAAAUGACCGAAAAAUUUUUAUUAAAAUAUUUUUCGUCGACUAAAACAGCCAAAUUACGUAAUGAUAUCUCUUCAUUUAUGCAAAUGAAUAUAGAAACACUCUAUGAUGCAUGGGAGAGAUACAAGGACCUUUUAAGAAGAUGUCCUCACCAUGGGUUACCACUCUGGCUACAGGUUCAAACGUUUCACAAUGGCCUGAAUCCUUCGACUAGACAGAUGAUUGACGCAGCUGUUGGAGGAACUAUCAAUAAUAAGACACCUGAGGAUGCUUAUGAAUUUAUAGAAGAGAUGUCACUAAAUAAUUAUCAAUAGCAAGUCAUGAGGACAAAACCGAUGAAAGCAACCGGGGUUUUUAAUGUUGAUUCGGUCACCAUACUUUCUAAUCAGGUAGAACUUUUGAAUAGAAAAAUUAACAGUUUUUUUGGUUCUUCACAGGUUCACCCAGUAAUGCAAUGCAAUGCAAGUGGGGGAGAAUUGAGCAAUUCAGAAUGCCCACCCUAUGGCCACAACAUGAAAAACAAGCAAUUAAAUUAUAUGGAUAAUAAUCCUCGACCUCAAAAUAAUCCUUAUAGUAACACUUACAAUACAGGAUGGAGGAACCACCCAAAUUUCUCAUGGGGAGGCCAAGGGAAUCAGAGACCACCACCAUUUCCAGGUUUCUAACAGCAACCUUACCAGCAAAAUAAAAAUUUGAACCUUGAGGAAAUGCUAACAAAAUUCAUCUUGGUGUCAGAAACUCGUUUCCAGAAUACCGAGACAGCACUUAAAAAUCAACAAGCGUCGAUCCAAGGGCUCGAAACUCAGAUAGGCCAGCUCGCUAAAUUGAUAUCUGAAUGAACACAAGGUAGCCUACUGAGUAACACUGAAUCUAACCCAAGGGAGCAACUCAAUGCGAUUGCCAUUCAAGAUGAGGAAGGGUUAGUUACAUCUAAACCAGAACCGAGGCAAGAAACUGUGGUAAGUAAAGGUAAAGGUAAGGUAAACCACAUCGAGCAGAAACCGGUAAGUAAAGAGUACAAACCACGAGUGUCAUACCCAAAUGCGACAAAGAAAGACCAUACAGAUGAACAAUUUUGUAAACUCCUUAAACUAUUAAAGAAAUUACACAUUAACUUACCGUUUAUUGAAGCCCUUUCGUAGAUGCCGAACGCAGUCAAGUUUUUAAAGGAGCUUUUAGGAAACAAGUGAAAGUUGGAUGAAGCGUCGCAUGUGGAGUUGAACGUAGCUUGCUCAGCUAUUCUACAAAAUAAGCUACCCAACAAAUUAAAAGAUCCAGAGAGUUUUACAAUUCCUUGCUUAAUUGGUAGCUUAGAUGUUAAUAAUACUUUGGCUGAUUUAGGGGCUAGCAUCAAUGUCAUGCCUUACAAAAUGUUUAAGUAACUAGGUCUUGAGAAACCCAAACAAACUAAGAUGAGUAUUCAAUUAACCGAUGAAACAAUUAGAUUUCCUAGGGUUAUUAUUGAAGAUGUACUCAUUAAAAUUGACAAAUUUAUAUUCCCAGUUGAUUUCGUUGUUCUAGACAUAGAGGAGGAUAGUAACGUUCCUUUAAUUUUAGGGAGCCCUUUUUAGCAACUGUUAGAACAAUAAUUGAUGUUGGCACAGGUGAACUCACACUUCGUGUGGGAGACGAAACAAUCACCCUUUAAGCUCGUAAUUCAAGUAACACAUCAAAAAUUGAAGGUGGUUGUAUAAAUCAUACUAUUAAAACUGAUCAUUUGGUGAAACCUUCCUGGCAGGAAACACGUUCAAAGAACACACCUGAGCCAUGUUCGAGUAACGACAAAAGACCUAUCUAUGAAGAAUGAAGGCUACAACUUGAGGAACUAGAUGAAUAGCUGACACAUAAACCGAGGACACACGAUAAACCAAAACCAUGCCAUGACGAGCUCAAUAUUUCACCAAAUCAACUUAAGGUUGGAGACAAAGUACUACUAGAUGCGGUAGACCCUCGUAUUGCUACGUCUGAACCUAACGGAGCAAUCCCUCUUACAGUACUCAACAUUUUCCCAUAUGGUACAGUCGAGGUUAUUCAUCCCAAACUCGGCACUUUUAAGGUAAACAGUACUCGUCUUAAACCUUAUUUUGAUAAAAUUGAUAGCAGGGAUGAGGAGUGUGAACUCCUCACAUCACAAUGACCAUGCAACAGAAAGGUAAGUCGAGCUUAGACUAUAAAUAAGCGUUUUUCGGGAGGCAACCCGAGCAUUAAUGAUGUUAACUUUUUUAAAAUUUUAGUUUUUUACAUCUAAUCACUAACUGAGUCAGUGAAACACAGGUUUUCUAAUCUACACGGCCAAGCACACGGACAUGCCUUAGGCCGUGCUCACACCAUGGGAGGAGACACAGCCGUGCGAUACUGCCGUGUGAAAACAGGGUAAAAUUUUUCCUUAACACGGGAUGUGAUAAGUUGCCACGGCCGUGCGAUGUAGCCGUGGGCGAGUCUUUCAAACCAACACAGGCGUGUGACACACCCGUGUCUAUAAACCAUGGUUGAAACUGAGAAUUUAGCACGAGCAUGUCCUAUCAACCGUGCUCAAGACUGAAAAAAGAACACGGGCGUGGACAUCUAUACACGGGCAUUGGAGAAGAGAAUGAAACAGAACAUGGUCGUGUGACACAGACGUGUGCACCAACACGCCCAAAGAGCACGGGCGUGUGAAGAAUUUCAGACACGCCCAAAUUUGAAAAUUACGAUAAACACGAGCUGAAAUAAGGGCACAUGGGGGUGCCCCACGACCGUGUGCCCCAAAAUCUAUAUAAACCCCUUACUAUUCAUCACCCCCUUCCCCAAAAUCUCUAACCCUAGCCGCUGCAACUUCACAUGCCCUACCUGCCACGCCCGUGCACCGUCCACAGCACCACCUUUGACAACCCAAAGCUCCUCCCUCUUACGUUUGUACAUUUUUUUCCUUCUAUUCUCUUCAUUCUUUUACUUAUUUGAUGAUAUUUUAUUUUAUUUUGAGUAAAUAAUCAUAGUUAUAAUGAUAGAAUACUUAUGCUCUUUGUUAAGAAAUUUACCAUUUUAAUUGAUAUAUUUUGCUGCAUUUAUCCACUUUUCUUGUUUCCAUAGAUUUCAUGCUUACCCACACCAUAUUUCAUACUUAUUAAACCCACAUGCAUUCAUUCAAUAGAUAUUUCCAUUAGCAUUACUCUCGUAGUCCUAUUCAUAGUAAUGACUUAAUAUAUCUGAUUGGGUUAUUUUUAGUAUAGUUGUUCUUUAGUACAUGACUUCUAUGAAGUAUCUCUAUUAGUUUUACCAUGCAUAUUUUCUAUGCUAUUGCUGGGGAGUAAUUUUAUUUUUUAUUUUUUCUUGCCAUUGUAGGUAUACUAUCUCAACCUUACGUGGUAAGGAGACCGCCAUCCCCUCUUCGAAGAAAAGGAAAGGAGCAACGUCAUCCUCAGGUCCUACCGCUGAGAUCCGUUACCCUUUCCUCCAGUUUCCCUUUGGACCCCAGGAGGAACUAUUUCAGAUAUUACGGGUCCGACCCUUAGGUGUAGGCCACUGCAUUGACUGGGCUGCACUUAAAAAAAUUCAAAUGGCUGACGUGGUCCAAGCCCUCCUGACGACUACCCGUGGAGGCUUUUCUUUGAGAUCAUCGAGCCGAUGUACCACGAGCUCACAAUGGAACUCUACUCGACCUUCCAUCUUCAAGUCGCCAUGAUAAACUGCGACGAUCCUAGAACGGUCCAAUUCCACCUCAGUGGUCUAGUGCGCCAGUUGAGCGUACCGAAGUUCAGAAUUGCACUAGGGCUGUAUAUGGAAGAGUUCAUGGAUGACAACGAACUUGACACCCUCUAUUGCCACAUCCACUACUCUCUCUCCAAAUGCUGGAAGGACUUUGUCCCUGCCUCGGCCACCUAUGAUCCUAACUACUCUAAGGCAUCAGCCCUCACCCCAUCCCUGUGAUACCUACACGCCAUCUUAGCCCACACUCUGACAGGGCGGCGAGAGAGCACCGGCAUCAUCAACACUCACGACGCCUACUUUUUAUAGAGCAUGGCAAACGGGCACGUCUUCGACCUUGCCUAUUUCAUUGCUCUCGCCAUCCGCCAUCAGACGGAGCGGCAUAGGAGAGGAGUUAUCACCAUUAGCCACUAUGUGACUCGACUGGCACGGCACUUCGGGCUCCUCAACACAGCAGCAUAAUCAUCCUCACUCACUCUCAUUGGUCAUAUGUCCCCUCAAGGCAUCUCGAGUAUGCUACAUAUGAGGAUGCUCGAGAAACGACGUGGAACUUACCCUCCUCAGUACCGCCUCGUCCAGUCCACUAAAGAGGAGAACCCAUAAGACAUUACUGAUGAUGUCCCUCCACGUCAUGAGGACCCACCGUCUCAACCAUCACCCAUCCAUCGUCCAGUUCAUGCGGUGGCUUCAUACUCUGAUAUCUCUAAGCACCUUACUCGAUUUAAGCAGCAGUGUUUUCAGUGCUUUGAUCACAUUGAUGCUACUCUUCAUCAGAUUUGUCAGCACCUUCACAUCUCAUCGCCACCACCACCUCGCGAACCAUCCGGCGAUGCUGAUGUUUAAAGACUUUUUAUUUUUUAUUUUUAUUUCCACUUUUAUCUUUAUUUAUCUUCUUUAAGUAGUUUUUAUUUUAUUUUCCUUUAAUAUUAUUUCAAUUUUAGGUUUUAUAAUUUUUAUUGAAUAAUUUAUAGUUUUGGCUAUUUUAUUACGAGUAAUUAUGCUUCCUUAUAUUUCCUAAAGAGUUCUUGAUUUUAUCACAGUUAUAAAGAGCUCUAAAGCUCAUCAUCACUUAGGAACUAAAAAAUCACUGGAAAAGGUUCUCCACAACUGUCAAGUCCUGCUCGACCACGACCACAGCUACUACCAGAUAUAAUAUUCUGUUGGCGCAGGACUUAUGGACUAAUGAACCUCUACCACCACCGGAGUAUCCUCCUCCACUCUCAUCAUUGCCUUGGCUGAUUAUUCUCCAUAACUCCAAUUGAAGGAGUUCAUUCAUCAUUCAGGAAGUUUAACUUCUCUUCUUAUCUUAUGAGUAUUUAUCUAUAUUUUUCAGUAUAUCUAUCUUUGUACAUUGAGGGCAAUAUACAUCUUAAGUGUAGAGGGUCUUUUAUAUCAUUAUCAGAAAAAUCCCUGAAUUUUAUCUUGUUCUCAAAUCAUCUUCUCAUAUCAUUAUUAGAAUAAAAUUUGAUUAAUUUAUGAUUGUUAUUGAUAUGUCUUCAAUUAAAACAUAGGCAUUCAUGUAUUGAUUGUUUAAACUUUAAGGAAUUAGAUAAUCAAGCAGGAUAAGUUGAUUUUUGAGAAUUAAAAAUUUUUAGGUUGUUUCCCCAAGUUUAGGUAUUAUCUCGAGUUAAAAUUCACAGGGUUAACAUCAACAAGCCAUAAUUUCUGUAAGAUCUUGAGCCUUUAGAGCAACUAUUAUUUCUUUCAUGCUCACUGUUAUUAUUGAUAAUGAGUGUGUCAAUAUUGAUUUAUUAUUCUAGAACUUGCUUGAUUAUGCAUGUCAAGACCACACCCUUGAGUUAAUAUGUCAAUAUGAUAAAGGCACCUAGGUUUAACCCACUCACUCCAUAAAAGCAUACCUUCAUAAUUUACCCUUAGUGAACCCCUUUGAGCCUAACAAGCCAUUAAUUGAUUUACCCUCAAUGUUAACCCAUAACACAUUAUUGUUGAAAUCCCCUAAUUUGAUCCCUAUUUUUGUCGAGAUUUGAUUUGAAUUAUUGCAUAGCUAUGUUUUAUUCUUCGUUGCAAUAAUUAGCAAAGUCCUAUGUUAUUUCACUUGUUUAUUUCACUUGUUCCUAAAAAAAAAUACAAUACUUACUUACAUAUUAAUAGUAAUUCGUCAUUUUUGAGCUUAAGUGUUAAUUCCAUAUUCUAAGAAGAAGCUCACUCGUAUUCAACUUAUAAUUAGUUGUUUUUCUAGUUAGGUGAUUUUUUUAAUUCAAUCUCGAUUCUAACCUUUCCUUUUAGCUUGUGACCACACCCCCUAACCAAAGCCACGUUACAACCCUCUAAAGACCUUUUGAUUGAUGUAUCAUCUCAAUAUAUAGUGGUGGAGAUUUGAUUUUCUGCAAGCCUAUGGUAAUAACUUUUCAUAUUGACUAAUGAGUGCUUCAUUUAUUAUCCUUAAACACCUCGAGUGAUUUGAGUGAAUCUUUAGUGAGGAUGUUAAACUCCGUGAUAUUUUGAAUCAAAGGUAAUCACUUAGAUGAGGGGAGACACCUAUGUUUUCGUGAUGAAAUGCUCAACUUGGAAUGUUUGAAACUUUGAUAUUCUUCUAGUUGAAUUCUCCAUGUAUGAUUACUUAUGAUUUAUUUUAAGAUAUUAUUGAUAGAGAUUAUAGAUUGAGAAGAAUUUAUUUUGAUUGUGAGUUGAGGAUUUUGCUUGAGGACAAGCAAACGCUUAAGUGUGAGAGUUUUUGAUAAACCGCAAUUUAUACAUAUUUUUAUCCCAUGCUUAGCACAUUUAUAUAUGAUUUCUCCUUAGAUUUGGUGAAUUUGAUGCACCAAAUCCUUUAAUUUCAUGUUUUAUACUUAGGUGACCAUAGCAGAGUAAAAAGAGCGAGAAACAGGUCGACAACGGAGAAAAAUAGACCCACAUGGGAAAUCGACACGGCCUGGACUUCCUCACACGGGUAAGCCACACGGCCAUGUCCAUUUGGCAGGAUCGGCGUACAAUUUACACAGGUAGACUACAUGCCCACGAUUAUUUAGCAACCUUCACCACGGUUUGGAGCAAUCGCACACGGGCGUGUCACACAGGCGUGUCCCUGUCGAGCCCAAGUAAAGUCCUAUUCGAAAAAGGCCACUUUUGAUGGCUCUUAGGCAUUCUAAAGCCUAUUUAAACACCUGAGGAGGCAGUUAGAACGGGGGGACACAGAGUAGGAAGCAAUGAAUUACUCGAAAAAAGCCGAUUGAUCCAUCUCAGAAGCUGGAUUAUUCAUCAAGACUGAAGAUCUCUCUUCAAUUUCCAUUCAAGAGUUUUGGGUUUUCUUUAUGUUUUGUAUUCAUUAUUCUUCUAAGGGGAAUGAAACUUAAGACGAAUCUUGUUAUUAUUAUCUAAAUUAUAAGAUAAAUAUUUGACUUGUUCUUAAUUAUGUAUUCUUAAUUCUUGUCUUAAUAUUUCAGGAUAUUGAUUCAGGUUAAUGCGCUUAUUCAGAGGAGCAAAAGUCCCUGUCUAAGAGUAAAUUUGUCAUAAUUAAGUGGAGUUGAUUGCACGCCUAGAGAUAGGGUGACAAGAUUUUACCAGAUUAUGGUGAAACCUAAUAAGGGAUCCAUAGAUCGAGUAAAUGCAACACUAGGGCGUUAAUUACAAAGAGAUUUCAAUUAAUCAACCUAGGGUUAGAUGUUAUUAGUCUCGAGAGAGAUAAUAAUAUAACUUAGGGAUUUCUACGAAUCAAGUUAAAUGAACAAAUCGCCUGAUUCAGAGUCAAAUAACAAGUGAAUCUAGGUGGAUUUUUCCUUGGGUAUUGUCUUUAUUAAUCGAAUUUUCUAAAAAGUAUUUUCCCAAUUUUUAGGCUAGAUAAUAAAAAGAAAGUAAUUACUAGUACUCUUGGUUCCUUUGGGUUCGACAAUUCGGUCUUGUUAAAGCUAUACUACUGUUCGAUAGGUACACUUGCCUUCAUCGUGAUAAUAGUUGGUUUUAAGAACGAUCAUUUAUAAAUUAUUUAAAACUUAUCGCAAAUAUCAUAAAUCAGUAGUCGUUUUACAUGGAUUUAUCUCAUUAAAUGAAUGUCUCAGAUGGUUGACUAUUUUUUUCAGUUUCAAAAAAUGGUCAAAACUCAGUUUGGGAAAGAUAUUAAAAAUUUUCAAAGUGAUUGGGGUGGUGAGUUUCGUGCCUUCGCAUCAACUCUUGCUAUUCAUGGGAUACUUCAUCACCUCUCCCGUCCACAUACAUCCGAGCAGAACGGUAUAGCCAAACCAAAACAUCAAGACAUUGUUGAGAUAGGUCUUACUCUCUUGACCCAAGCUAAUAUGCCCAUGGAUUUCUGGGGUUACGUGUUUUGCAGUGUCGUUUAUCUCAUUAAUCGUCCACCUACCUUGGUUUUGAAAGGUCAAUCUCCGUAUUAAGUUCUUCAUGGUAGUGACCCUACAUAUGAUCAUUUACGGGUGUUUGGGUGUUAUUUCUUUCCAUACUUGCGUCUGUUUCUGCAACAGAACUUGGAUUUUUGUUCUCAGCCUUGCACAUUUUUAGGGUAUAGUUCUCAACAUAAAGGCUAUCACUGCCUCACACCAGAUGGUAAGGCCAUUGUCUCUUAUCAUGUUGUGUUUGAUGAACGUCGAUUUCUCUUUUUUUUUAUGUUGCAAACACCGUCCAGUCAGGUCCAUGUAUCUCUACAUAUGUUCCUAUUGCUCAGUCUUCAUCUGCCGCGCCACGGCAUCCUCGCUUGUUCAGCCCAUUAAGUCCUCUUGACUCUUACUCCUAAUUGUAGUUCCAAGACGUCUAUUUCAGUUGACUCUCCGACUGAAUUGGGUUCUACUCAUGAGGUGCACCGGCUCUUCACCUCAUCUCCUGAAUCACGUCAAUGCGACUCUACUACAAUUCCCUCGGUUAUUCCAUCUAUUUUUCUAGAGAAUACUCAUAACAUGAUUACUCGGUCUAAGGCUAGUAUUUCUAAACCCAAAGCUUUCUCUGUUGAAACUGUCGACUAUGAGCCACACACGAUUGAUGAGGCACUCGCUAGUAAGGAAUGGCAAUUAGUUGUCCAAGCUGAGUUUGUUGCUCUAAUGGCUAACUCUACCUGGGAGCUUGUUCCCUUACUUCAUUGUCGAAAAGUGAUUGGGUGUAAGUGGCUUUUUAAAAUAAAAAAAAUCCUGAUGGGGCUAUCACUUGGCACAAGGCUCAGCUGGUAGCAAUGGGUUGUUCUUAGGUACCUGGGUGUGAUUUCAAAGAAACCUUUAGUCUAAUGGUUACACCUACUACUAUUAGAAAAAUAUUGUCUAUUUCUGUUUCCAAUGGGUGAAAACUUCGUCAAAUCGAUGUGAAUAAUACCUUUUAAGAUGGUGAUCUCACUGACGAAGUGUUUAUGCAACAACCUUCAGGCUAUGUUCAGAUUGGUCCAUAUCGUGAGCUAUUGGUGUGUCGUCUGAAAAAGGAGUUGUAUGGAUUACGACAAGCUCCACGUGCCUGGUUUGAUAAAUUGAAACAUUUUUUCUACCAGAUUUGUGUUAUCCAAAUCUGAUGCAUCCCUGUUUGUUCGAGUUACGUACGUAUCCACUAUUUAUGUUCUAAUCUAUGUGGAUGAUAUUACCGUUACUGAAAGUACGACUGACGGUAUAAAUGACUUUAUUCAACAGUUACAUAAUAAGUUUUCCCUUAAAGAUAUGGGAGAUCUUCACUACUUCUUAGGUAUUCAAGUCACUCGGUCAUCCACUAGAAGUCUUCAUUUGUGCCAACGCAAAUACAUCUAGGAUCUGCUUGACAGGAGUUCCUGGGCUAACGUGAAAAGUGUUCACACACUGAUGGUUAGUUCUUUUACAUUGUCUAAAGAUGAGAAAAAUCACCUCGUUGAUCCCACUAAAUAUAGGAGCCUUGCCGGAGCAUUACAAUAUGUGGUCUUAACUCGGCCUAAUAUUGCUUAUGCGGUAAAUCGUGUUUGUCAAUUCAUGCAUAUGCCUACUACGGUACAUUUGGUGGCUUUGAAAAUAAUCUUGCGCUAUUUACGUGGCACUAUUGAUCAUGGGUUAAUUUUUCGUCCGUUCGACAGAUUGUCUUUAGUUGGCUAUGCUGAUUCCAACUGGGGACUGGAUUUUGAUGAUCGUCAGUCAACCAUAGACUAUUGUGUGUAUUUUGGACAUACAUCCAUCUUUUUGUGUUCUAUGAACCAACAAGUUAUUUUUCACUCCACGGCUGAUGCGAAGUAUCGUAGUCUAGCAGUAGCUACCAGUGAUGUUACUUGGUUAGCCUCUCUGUUAACGAAUUUAAAAAUUUGUUCUGCAAAUCCACUUACUAUUUGGUGUGACAAAUCUAGUGCAAUAGUGGUUGCUGCUAAUCCGGUUUUACACUCCAAAUUUAAACAUGGCGAGCUUGAUCUAUUUUUUGUUCGCGAAAAUGUCACUAAUGGUUCUCUCAUUGUUGGCGAAGUUCCGGCAUGUGAUCAGGUUGCUAGUAUUCUCACAAAACCAUUGUCCAUCUCUACUUUUGCUAGGUUUCAUAGUCUGCCUCAAGUCUUACCUCUUGAGAAGCUGGAUGAAGCCGGGUGAAUAUUAGAGUAUAGACUCUAUUAGUCUGUUACCAUUUUGUUAUACAGGCUAGAAUAUUGUUAGUAACCAGUUAGCAGCAAUUAGUCAUAGCAGUUAGUCAUACAAGUAUAAAUUCUAUUUAUGUAUAGUUCAAAGGUAAGCUAAUAAUACCAGAAGAGAUUUAACGUGUUCAUUCUACUUUCUUUGUUAUUCUUCAUAAUACAGUUGUUAACAGGCUUGAUAUCAUCUCUUAGAGAAAACUAGGAGAGAUAAGAGUAAGAGUAUGAGCAAACUAUGGAUAAGGCUCUACCAUAAUACCUUAGAUGCAGUUAAAGUAAGAGUAAGAGCCAACUUGUUUGGCUUGAUAGCAUCCCCUUAUAGAAAAAGCUCUACCGCAUGGCAUUAGAGCAAUAAAAGUAACACUUAAUUUCUUGGUUGAUAGCAUCUCGUAGGGGAAAAAGGUUUACCAUGUGACAUGAAAGUAAUUAAAGUAAGAUUAAGAGCUAACUUGUUUGUCUUAAUCGCAUUGUUUAAGAGAGAUCCAAAUAAAUUUACUCAAAAUAUGUUAAUCAAAUAAUGCAAAUUACAAUGUUUUGUCAAUUUUUCCUUUAAUUGUAACUGGGUUAAAGUUGGUAGUUGUAACUGGUACUAAUAGAAUAGAUUUGGUAGAAAUGGUUGAAAGCAACAUAAGCAAAGAUGACUUUGAUGUCAUUGUAUUGACCACGUGGGAACUAUAGAAUGUAGAGAAUAGUAUGGUGAUUGGCAUCAGAAUGUUGCUAACUUUGAGGACAGUAGAUAAGGAUGGAUCCAAAGGGGCUGUGGGCGGCCCCCUUGAAAUUUUCAAAUUUUUGAAUUUAUAUAUAAAUUAUCAUGUAUUUUAGAUUUGGUGUCCACAUUGUAUAACAUUCACCCCCUUUGCCAAAUUGUAUUUCAUAUCAUUCGCCCCCUUAAACCAUAAGGUUAUACUUUAUAUUAACAAAGUAUUUUCCAUUUUUUUUAAUUAUAUAAAUUUAAUAAUAACAAUAAUAAUAAAAUAUUAAUGUAUGAUAGGCAUUGAAAGACUAAACUUAUAGGUCCAAUUUGGACUUUAAAGCCAAAUUCUAUAAUUAAUUAAUUGAUUUGGCUCAUACCUAUACAUAUUAGGUUAGCGACUUUCUUGUAUUUUGAUUUGUAUGUCUUCUUAAGGAAUUAUCUUCCUUUGGUAAAGUGUUGACACUACCAAGAGAAAAAGAAAGGAUUUUGAUGACGAGACUAAGAGUAUAGAGCAAAAAUAUACAAAUUAUCUUCCUCUUGGCUCCUUAUGCAAAAAACCUCUCGGUAAAUUUUUUGCAUAAAUUAUGUUCUUUAUUUAUUUGACUUAUUUUUUUUAUUUUUUCCUAAUAUAUUUUGUUUAAUAUAUUAUUAAAAUCAUCAGGUUUUUCGAUUAAAUAAUGGUCAAUAAAAAGAUCGAAUCUAUUUUUUUAAAAAAAAGGUGUCAGAAAGCAAUAGUGAUCAACCAGUUCCUUAACCUUCUGUUAUUCGUGAAGAAAAACCAAAUAUUGGAUAUUCCCAAGCUCCUGAAUGAAAUAUUAGGUCUUAUCAAGCCCAAACUUUUGAAUGCGAUAUGGAGUCUUCCCCAGUUCUUAAACUAGAUUGUUACACUCCUUACCUGAUCCGAUCACCAAAUCCAUGUAGAGAGUACCACAACUUAAACCAUAUGAAUUGAAUAAUAAAUAUUUGAAAUUUAUUAAAGUAUCGAGUUCUUGGUGUAACCCUCAGUAUAAUAAUAUGAAACAAUCAAAUCAAUGAUACGCCAGGAACAAACAUUUUUAGGAAAAACACAUGGCGGAAACCUUACAAAAGUUUAUAAGUUUAUAUGAAAUGUAAGAUGAGUUAAUCCCAUACAAUAGUUUCAAGUGCAUUUUUGGCAGUUAAAACAACACUCUAAAACUAUUUGGUGUAGAUGCCAAUGAGACAAUCAUGUGGAAUAAGAUAUAGUAGCAUAAACACAUACAUCACUUACCAUGUCAUUAUAACAUAUACUAACCACAUAAACAAAUUUCUCGAGCUGCGAACGAACAAGUUUACCCAAACAUCUGGGGUUGGUAGAUAGCUUAUCAGAAAAGCCCUCCAAAUCCUAGAGUUCACCAAAACCUGGAGUUCGCCAAAUAGAGAUUCCCAUAGAAUACGCCAAACACACAACCAAAAAACAAAUACUCUACUAACUUACUUAUUUUUUAUUCUUAGCAUAAACAACUAUGCGCCAAAAAGUAACUUGAUACAUUAUCCAUCAGGCGGGUUGUUACAAUUCUCCCUCACUUAGAAAAUUUUGUCCUCAAAAUUCUUAACGGUGAAUAACUGAGGAUAUUGUUCUUUUAUUGAACUCUCUCUUUCCCAAGUGGAUUCUUUUUUAUUGUGAUUUCUCCAUAAUACAUUAACAAAAGGAAUUCUUUUUCUUCUCAACUUUUUUACCUCCCUUGCUAAUGCGAACAGGUUCUUCUUCAUAGGAUAUGUUUGGCUCCUUUUCUAAUGCUUUGACUUGUACCACAUGAUCUGGUUUGGAUUGAUAUUUUCUUAACACGAACACAUUAAUCACAUUGUGUAUCUUUGAUAACUCUAGUGGCAACACCAAUCUGUAUGCCACUGGACCAACCAGUUCCAAAAUCUCAUAUGGUCCUACGAAAUGCAGACUUAAUUUCCCUUUUUAUUCUAACCUUAUGAUAUUCUUCCAAAGAGAAAACUUCAUAAAUACAUUGUCACCCACUUCGAAAGAGAUUUCUUUCCUUUUUAGAUCAACAUAAGCUUUCUGACGAUCUUAAGUUACUUUCAGAUGAUUUCAAAUAAUAGAGACUUUCUCUUCUGUUUCUUGUACUAAAUCAAAACCAACUAUUUUCCUUUCACUGAGUUCCAUCCAACAGGUGGGAGAUCUACGCUUUCUUCCAUACAAAGCUUCAAAUGGUGAUAUUUCUAGAUUGGCGUGAUGACUAUAAUUAUACACAAACUUUGGCAAAGAAAGAUAUCUUUCUCAAUUCAUUCUGAAAUCUAUAAUACAACUUCUGAGCAUGUCUUCCAAAACUUGAAUUACUCUUUCAAAUUGUUCACCUGAUUAGGGAUGAAAGGCAGUACUGAAUCAUAUCUUGGUUCCUAACGAUUCUUGUUGUUGUCUUCAAAAUCUUGAUGUAAACAUUAGGUCUCGAUCUAAAACUACGGAUGUUGGAAUCCCAUGAAGACAUACAACUUCAGAAACGCAGAGCUUAGCCAACUUUUCCAAUGAGUAAUUUGUGCGGGCAAACAAGAAAUAGACUGACUUAGUAAGUCGAUCUACAAUUGCGCAAACUGAAUUCUUCUUUGAAAGGCUGAAAGGGAGAGCCAAAACAAAAUCCAUGGUGAUGUUAUCCCACUUCCACUUAGGUAUCUCUAAAGGGUACAACUUGCCUAAGGGAACCUGAUGUUCUGUUUUAAUCCGCUGACAUGUCAAAGAAAUGGAGAUGUACUCUGUUAUUUCUUUCUUCAUUCCAGGUCACCAAUACAAACUUCUCAAAUUACGAUACAUUUUAUGUAAUGCUCUCAACCCGACUCGAUAUGUCGAGUUUGGAUCUCGGGUAUUACUAUACACAGUACUUAGUAAAAUAUCAAAAUAGCUGACAAAUACUCUUUACUAAAAACAUUUUCUUAUUAUUUUAACCGAAAGAGUAAAUAUUUAAUAACAAGGGUAAAUAUUAGAAAUAAAAUAAAUUAUUACAUCAGACUUGGUACAACUGAUUAUAGUAUAAAAUUUUGUUAAAGACAGACUCUUGGGGAAUAACCCUAAUCUAUGCCACUUUUCCACUAUAUACAUAAUAACCCACUUCAGCACUAUCUUGGCAUACUCCUAGCAUCGUCACUCCUAACGCAUUCUCUACCCAUACACCUAAAAACAACAACAUUAUAAGCUCAAGAGAACUUAGUGAAUUUUAUCCCAAAAAUACCUUGGCGAGUACUUUAAUUAUUUGACUAACAUCUGUGCGCCAUCUAUCUUUUUAAACCACCUUCUUCUGAAUCAGACGGAUACUAUUACAGAUUCGACUUUCACUUAUACGCCAGCUAUCAUACUCUUAACACACUCACUUAUUCUAGAACAGUUUUUCACAUAUAUUAAUCAUUGACAGAUACAUACAUUUUUGGUGAAUACUUACGCAGAUCUAAAUACCAUCAAACUACUAAUCAAAUCAUACAUUGAUUCGAUACCAUACAAACUCCCAUUGAUAAUGUACUACACAAUUUAUUCAAAUGAAUUUUCCACUACUUUGUUACAGGACCCCAGAAAAUCAUCAUAACAAUAACUCAAUUUCCAUAUGAUUUCAAAAAAGGAUAUAAUACAACCCAAAUAUGGCGAAUUCCAGACAACUCAGAUUCAACAACUGUAUAACAUAGACAAAAUCACAUUGAUAAUUUCUUAUGUCCCAAAUAACUAUGAAUACGUCCAUAUUCAAUACUAACAGAUAAUCAUGACGGAUACCCUUCUUAUACAUAUAUGCAUUUCUUUUCUAAAAAUCUCUUAAGACUUACUCAGUUAUAUCACAGAUCUUAUUCAACCUUUAACUUCAGACGUAUCAUAAACCUAUCAGAUCAAUAUCUGUCACAAAGAAAUUGGCAUUUACCCAGAUUUUACAAUAAAGGCAGAUAAUCAUAUUAUAGUAGACAAACUUAACUGAAAGUGCUACAAAGGCCAAACAAAAUAUGCCAUAAAGGCUUCAUACAAAAUCAUGUGUUUACUAUCUCGACGGAUGAUACAUGAUAUUCGUGACAGGUUUUAAAAAUUUAUAAUUAAUCGUUCUUUAAAUUAACUAUUAUCACGAUGAAGGCAAGUGUACCUCUCGAACAGUAAUAUAGCUUUAGCAAGACCGGAUGGUCGAACCCAAAGGAACCAAGAGUACUAGUAAUUGCUUUCUUUUUAUUAUCUAGCCUAAAAAUUAAGGGAUUUAUUUAUCUAAUUAAUUAACUAAACUAAGGGUGCACAGAAAGAAAAUUGGGGAAAAGCUUUUGGGAAAACUCGAUUGAUUAAGACAAUACCCAAGAAAAAAUCCACCUAGACUUCACUUAUUAUUUGACUCUAAAUCAGACGAUUUAUUCAUUUGACUUGAUCCGUAGAAAUCCCUAAGUUAUAUUAUUAUCUCUCUUGAGACUAAUAACGUCUAACCCUAGGCUGAUAAUUGAAAUCUCUUUCUAAUUAACACUCUAGUGUUGCAUUAACUCGAUCUAUGGACUCCCUUAUUAGGUUUCACCCUAAUCCAGUAAAAUCUUGUCACCCUAUCUCUAGGCGUGCAAUCAACUCCGCUUAAUUAUGAAAAAUUUACUCUUAGAUAAGGACUUUUGCUCCUCUAAAUAAGCACAUUAACUUGAAUCAAUAUCUUGGAAUACUAAAACAAGAAUUAAGAACACAUAAUUAAGAACAAGUCAAAUAUUUAUCAUACAAUUCAGAAAAUAAUAACAAGAUCCGUCUUAGGUUUCAUUCCCCUUAGGUAUUUUGAGGUUUUAGUUCAUAAUUAUGAAAGAAAACAUCUCAAAAGAAUAAUGAUAACAAAACAUAAAGAAAACCCAAAACUCCUGAAGGAAAUUGAAGGGAGAUCCUCAGUCUUGACGAUGAAUCCGGCUUUUGAAAUGGAUCAAUCGGCUUUCCUUGAGUAAUUCAUUGCCUCCUACUCCCUAUGUAUCUUCUAAGUGCCUCCUCAGGUGUUUAAAUAGGCUUUAUAAUGUCUAAAAGCCCUCAAGAGUGGCCUUUUCUGAAUAGGACUGAACUUGGGCUCGAUAGGGACACGCCCGUGUGACACGCUCGUGUGCAAUUGCUUCAGACCGUAGUCAAGGCUACUAAAUAGGCAUGGGCGUGUGGUCUACCCGUGUGAGGAAGUCCAGGCCGUGUUGAUUUCUGAUGUUGGUCCAUUUUCUUCAUUUUCAGCCCGUUUCUCGCUCUUUUUACUCUCUUAUGCUCACCAAAGUAUAAAACAUGAAAUUAAAGGAUUAGGAGCAUCGAAUUCACCAAAUCUAAGGAGAAUUCAUCCAAAAAUAUGCUAAGCAUGAGGUAAAAAUAUGUAUAAAUUAUGGUUUAUUAAAUACCCCCACACUUAAGCGUUUGCUUGUCCUCUAGCAAAAUCCUCAACUCAAAAUCAAAAUAAAUUCUUCUUAACUUGUAACCCCUAUCAAUAAUAUCUCAAAAUAAACCAUAAGUAAUCAUGUAUUGAGAAUUCAACUAGAAAAGCAUUAAAGUCUCAAACAUUCCAAGUCGAGCAUUUUAUCACGAAAACAUAGGUGUUUCCCCUCAUCUAAGUGAUUACCUUUGAUUCAAAAUAUCACAAAGUUUUAACAUCCUCACUAAAGAUUCACUCAAAUCACUCGAGGUGUUUAAGGAUAAUAAAUGAAGCACUCAUUAGUCAAUAUGAAAAGUUAUUACCAAAGGCUUGUAUGAAAGUCAAAUCUCCACCACUAUAAAUUGAGAUGAUACAUCAAUCAAAAGGUCUUUAGAGGGUUGUAAAGUGGCUUUUGUUAGGGGGUGUAGUCACAAGCUGAAAGAAAGGUUAGAAUCAAGAUUGAAUUGAAAAAUUACCUAACUAGAAAAAUAACUAGUCAUUACUUGAAUACAUGUAAACUUCUUCUCAAAAUAUGAAAUUGAACACUUAAGCUCGAAAACAACGAAUUACUACUAAUAUAUGUAUGUAUUAUAAUUUUUUUUAAGAACAAGUCAAAUAAUAUAGGUUAAUUAUCAAAAAUAAAACAUAGCUAAGUAAUUUAUUCAAAUUAAAUCUCGACAAAAAUUGGGAUCAACUUGAUUGAGGGGAUUUCAACAGUAAUAGGUUAUAGGUUAAUAUUGAGGGUAAAUCAAUGGAUAGUUUGUUAGGCUCAAAGGGGUUCACUAAGGACAAAUUAUGAAGGUAGGCUUUUGUGGAGUGAGUGGGUUAAACCUAAGUGCCUUUAUCAUCUCGACAUAUUAAAUCAAAUGGUGUGGUCUUGACAUGCAUAAUCAAGCAAGUUCUAGAAUAACAAAUCAAUACUGACGCACUCAUAAUAAAAGUGAGCAUGAAAGAAAUAAAAUAUGAUCUAAAAGCUUAAAAUCUCACAAAAAAUUAUGGCUUUUUGAUGUUGAACCUGUGAAUUUCAACUCAAGAUAAUACCUAAACUUGGGGAAACAACCUAAAAAUUUUAAAUACUCAAAAAUCAACUUAUCAUGUCUGAUUUUCUAAUUCCUUCAAAGUUUAAACGGUCAAUGCAUAAAUACCUAUGUUUUAAUUCAAGACAUAUCAAUAAAAAUCAUAAAUUAAUCAAAAUUCAUUCUAAUAAUGAUAUGAGAAGAUUAUUUGAGAACAAGACAAAAUUUAAGGAUUUUUUUGAUAAUGAUAUAAAGGCCCCCCACACUUAAGAUGUACAUUGCCCUCAAUGUACAAAGUUAGAUUUACAACGAUAUAGAUAUAAGAUCAUAAGAUAGGGAGAGAAGUGAAACUUCCUGAAUAAUGAAUGAACUCCUUGAAUUGGAGUUAUGGAGAAUAAUCGGCAAAGGCAAUGAUAAGAUUGGAGGAGGAUACUUCGGUGGUGGUAGAGGUUGGGUUCCACAACCUCAGUGUCCAGCGAAGAAGUUAUCGUGGUGGUCGAGCAAGACAUUACAGUUAUGGAGAACCUUUUCCAGUGGAGUUUCAAGUUUCUAAGUGAUGGUGAGCUUUGGGGCUCUUAGUAACUGUGAUAAAAUCAAGAACUCUUUAAGAAAUGUAAGGAAGCAUAAUUACACGUAAUGAAAUAGCUGAAACUAUAAAUUAUUCAAUAAAAAUUAUAAAACCUAAAAAUGAAAUAAUAUUAAAGGAAAAUAAAAUAAAAAGUACUUAAAAAUGUAAAUAAAAAUAAAAUAUAAAAAGUUUUUAAACAUCGUCAUCGCUGGAUGGUUCGCAAGGUGGUGGUGGUGAUGAGAUGUGAAGGUGCUGACAAAUCUGAUGUAGAGUAGCAUCAAUGUUAUCAAAGCGCUGAAAACACUAUUGCUCAAAUCAAUAAGGCACUCAGAGAUGUCAGAGUAUGAAAUCGCCGCAUGAACUGGACGAUAGAUGGGUUGUGGCUGAAAUGGUGGGUCCUCAUGACGUGGAGGGACAUCAUUAGUAAUUCCUCCGGGUCCUCCUCCUCGGCUGACUGGAUGAGGCGGUACUGAGCAGAAUCGAUUCCAUGUCAUUUCUCGAUCAUCCUCAUAUGUAGCAUGCUUGAAAUACCCUGUGGGGACAUCUGGCCGAUGAGAGUGAGCGAGAAUGAUUGUGCCACUGUGUUAAAGAGUCCAAAGUGCCGAAUCAAUCGAGUCACAUAGGGGCCAAUAGAGAUGACUCCCUUCCUAUGCCGUUCCGUCUGAUGGCGAAUGGCGAAGGCAAUGAAAUAGGCGAGGUCGAAGAUGUGCCCAUUCGCCAUGCUCCAUAAAAAGUAGGCAUCGUGAGUGUUGACAAUGCCGGUGCUCUCUUGUCUUCCUGUCAGAGUGUGGGCCAAGAGGGCGUGUAGGUACCUCAAGGAUGGAGGGAGAGUUGAUGUUUUGGAACGGUUAGGGUCGUAGGUGGCCGAGGGAGGGACGAGGGCCUCCAGCACUUCGAGUGAGAGUAAUGGAUGUGGCGAUGAAGGAUGUCGAGUUCGUUGUAGUCCAUGAACUCCUCCGUAUACAGCCCUAGUACAAUUUUGAACUCCGGUACGCUCAAUUGGCACACUAAACCACCAAGACGAAACUGGACCGUUGUAGGAUCGUCGAACUCUGUCAUAACGGUUUGGAAGUGAAAGGUCGAAUAGAGUUCCAGUGUGAGCUUAAGGUAUAUCGGCUUGAUGAUCCCAAAGAAGAGCUCCCAUGGAUCAGUCGACAGAAGGGCUCUGACCGCGUCAACCAGUUGGACUUGUUCAAGUGCGGCCCAUUCAAUGCAGCGGCCCACACCUAAGGGUCAGGCCCGAAGUAUCUAAAAGAGUUCUUCCUAAGGUCCUAAGGGAAACUAAAUAAAGGGGUGCCUGAUCUCCACGGUAGGACCCAAGGAUGACACUGCUCAUUUCCUUUUCUUUGAAGCGGGGACAGCGAUUUUCUUACCAUGGUUUGACAUGAUAUCUGCAAUGGCAAGACGAAAAAAAUAAUAAAUAAAAAAGUAAACUUACUCUCCAACAAUAACAUGAAAAAACAUAUGCAAUGCAUGUUAAAACUAAUAGAGAUACUUUAUAGGAGUCAUGUACUAAAGAACAACUACGCUGAAAAAUAACCCAAUCAGAUAUAUUAAGUCAUUACUACGAAUAGGAAUAUGAUAAUAAUGCCUAGUGAAUGAAUGCAUAUGGAAAUGAUGAUAUGGAAAAUAGAAUGAAGUCCAUGGCAACACAAGAAUGGUGGUAUCAUAAUGCAUCAACUAAGAUAGCAAGAAACAAAGAGCAUAAGCAAGGCUAUUAUUAGAACUAUGAAGAUUAACAGUCAAAAUAAAACAAGAAAAAUCGAAUUCAUAAACGAAAUGAAGAGAAAAGAAUGGACAAACGCAAAAGCUUGGUAGAGGGAGGAGCUUGGGCCGUCGUUAGUGGUGUUGUGGUUGGCGCACGGGCGUGGCAGGAAGGCGUGGGCAAGAGUUACGGCGGCUACAGUUAGGGAUUUUGGGGAAGGGGAUGAUGAAUAUAAGGGGUUUAUUCAACUCGUGUUUAUCGCGAUUUUUAAAUUUGGGCACGUCUGAAAUUCGUCCCACGCCGAUGUCCUUUGGGCGUGUUGGUGCACAUGGCCGUGUCGUACGGUCGUGUCCUACUUCGUUCACUUCUCCCACGCUCGUGUGUAUAAGCACACGCCCGUGUUGUUUGAUCAGUCUUGAGCACGGUUGGUGGGCACGGGCGUGUCGCACACUUGUGCUAAAUUCUCAGUUUCAACCACGAUUUCAAGACACGGGCGUGUCACACGCCCGUGUUGAUUUGAAAGACUCACCCACGGCCACGUUACACAGCCGUGGCAACUUAUCACAUCUCGUGUUAAGCAAAAAUUUUUCCCUGUUUCCACACGGUCGUGUCGCAAGGCCGUGUCUCCUCCCGUAGUGUGAGCACGGCCUAAGGCACACCUGUGUGCCUCACCGUGUGAAUUAGAAAACCAGUAUUUCAAUGACUCAGUUAGUGAUUAGAUGUUAAAAACUAAAAUUUUAAAGAAGGUAACACUAUUAGUGCUCGGGUUACCUCGCGAAAAGCAUUUAUUUAUAGUCUAAGCUCGACUUACCUCUCUGUUGCAUAGUCAUGGUAGUGCAAGGAGUUUACACUCCUCAUCCCUGCUAUCAAUUUUAUCAAAAUAAGGUUUUAGACAAGUACUAUUUACCUUAAACGUACCGAAUUUGGGAUGAAUUACCUCGACUGUGCCGUAUGGGAAAAUACUAAGUACCGUAAGAGGGAUUUCUCCAUUAGGUUCAAAGGUGGCAAUCCGAAGGUCUGCUGCAUCUAAUAGUACUUUGUUUCCAACCUUAAGUUGAGUUGGAGAAAUAUUGAGCUCGUCAUGGCAUGGUUUUUUUUAUCGUGUGAUUUCGAUUUCUGUGUCUGCCAUUCAUCUAGUUCCUCAACCUGUAGCCUUGUUCUUCAUAGAUGGGUUCUUUGUCGUUAUUUGAAUGUGGCUCAAGUGUGUUUCUCGAAUGUGUUUCCUGCACAGAGGGUUUCACCACAUGAUCAGUACUGAUAGAAUUUCGAGCUUGAGGAGUAAUUGAUUCAUCACCCAUACGAAGUGUGAGUUUACUUGUGCCAACAUCAAUUAUAGUUUUAGCAGUUGCUAGAAAGGACCGUCUUAAAAUUAAAGGUGCGUCGCUAUCCUCUUCUAUGUCUAGAACAACAAAAUCAAUUGGGAAAAUAAAUUUAUCGAUUUUUACCAAUACAUCUUCAAUGAUACCCCUGGGAAAUCUAAUAGUUUUAUCAGCUAACUGAAUACUCAUCCUAGUUUGUUUAGGUUUCCCAAUACCUAGUUGUUUAAACAUUUUAUAAGGCAUGAAAUUGAUACUAGCCCCUAAAUCAGCCAAAGCGUUAUUAACAUCUAAGCUACCAAUUAAAUAAGGAAUCGUAAAACUCCUUGGAUCUUUCAAUUUGUUGGCCAUGAUGUCUCGUUGAGAGCACCAAAAAUAUCCUAUUCUCUGUAAAAUAGUAAAAAUAACAGUAAAAGGGAAGUAGGGUCGAAUCCUCAGGGACCGGAUUGUACAAAUGCUCGUUUCUUGAAAUCCUGGACAAUUUCUUGGCCAAGAAAACCUGCGUUCCUGAAAAAUAAAAAAAAUAAAAUUAAGAAUCUGGAAAAAAAAAUAGAAUUUAAAGGGAAUUGAAAUUGCGAAAUUAAAUAAAUUGUCGAAAUUAAAAUGAGGAAAAAUAAAUAGAGUUGGGAAAAGAGAAAGUUUCUUAUGUGGCGAGAUUCCAGGCUCCGGUUGUCUCGUUCCGCCUUGGGUUCAAUCCUUGGCCUUUAAGUAACCCUUCCCAACUCAAGUAAGCCAGUUAUAGUGGAAGAGGAUGCCUACGACCACCAGCUCCAAAGAUUAGACUUACGAUUUUUAGGGAACCUGACUCUAACCAGUAAUCUAUGCUAGAUCAACGCUUCUCAAUGGCGAAUCCCAAGUCAUUUUGUCUCUUUGGCUCGCCAACCUUUGACGCAGUAAAUUAACAAACCGACUGUGCAAUCCUUUCAAAACAUACAAAGCGGUCGCCUUUGCAUAUGCUGAAAAGCUUACUUCUUAAGGGCCAUGGACGGAAGCGUCAGCCCGUAGUGCGGAGAAACGAUGAAUACUUGGCGAGAAGGCUAAGUACGGGUUCUAGGCCUCAAAAACCCUUUUUUGGGGAAUAUUGACAACCUUCAGCUAGAUAGGUUUUAAUGGCUCAUGAUAAUGGUGGAAAAGGAAAUAAAUAUAAAAAUAGAAAAUAAAAUUUUAUUCAAAGAAAAUAUGAAGAAACAAAAGCCUAGACUUUUAGGGGGAGAGUGUUUAUAGAAAAAGAUGAACACCCCAAAUAGAGUCACUUCACCCCCUAUUUAUAGUGCUAGGGAGAUAAUCUAAUUUAACUUAAAUUCUAAAAAGAUAAAUACAUUUAAUUAAAGAUAAUUAAAAUAAAAUCCUAAAAUUAAAUAAUCCUAAUAAUUAUCUUAAUAAUAAUUAUUCUAAUAUAAAUAAAAUGGAGUCUUAUAAAAUAAAAUCUCUUCUUUUUGAGUUUUCAGUCCUUGUGUCAUCCAUGCUCGCACUUUUGGAACAAUCUUUUUCCUGUGUCGCAUAUCAGCCCAUUGUGUCUCCAAAUUCGCACUUUUGUCCCUUAAUUUUUCUUUUUGCCUCCAAAUCAGUCCUUUAAAGAUAAAAAGACAUAAAUAGCUAAAAUUAGUAUGAUCAAGCUCAGAAUAAAUAUAUAAUUAGCACAUAAAAACAUGACAUUCUAGAGUGUUAUCAGGCCAGCUUAUUUUGCAGAAUGGCUGAGCAAACUGCAUUCAUCUCCACAUGCGAUGCCUCAUCUAACUUCCGUUUAUUCGCUAAAAGCUCCUUUAAAAAUUUGACUGUGUUCAGCAUCUACGAAAAAGCUUCAAUAAACGGUAAGUUAAUAUGUAAUUUCUUUAAAAUUUUAAGGAAUUUACCGAAUUGUUCGUCUGAGUGGUCUUUCCUUGUCGUAUUUGGGUAUAGUACACGUGGUUUGUACUCUUUACUUACCUGUUUUUGCUCAUUAUGGUCCACCUUACCUCUACCUUUACUUACCACAAUUUCUUGCCUUAGUUCUGGUUGAGGUGCAACUAACCCUUCCUCAUCUUGAAUGGUAAUCGCAUUGAGCUAUUCCCUUGGAUUAGAUUUAGUGUUACUCAACAGGCUACCUUGUGGUCGUUCAGAUACCAAUUUAGCAAGCUGGCUUAUCUGAGUUUUGAGCCCUUGAAUCGACACUUGUUGAUUCUUAAGUGCUUUCUUGGUAUUCUAAAAACAAGUUUCUAACACUGAGAUGAAUUUUGUUAGCAUCUCCUCAAGGUUCAGCUUUUUCUCUUGUUGGUAAGGUGGUUGUUGGAAGCCUGGAGGUGGUGGGGGUCUCUGAUUUCCUUGGCCUCCCCAUGAAAAAUUUGGAUGGUUCCUCCAACCUGCAUUUUAAGUGUUACUAUAAGGAUUAUUUUAAGAUCGAGGAUUAUUACCCAUGUAAUUCAACUGCUCAUUUUCCAUACUGUGGCCAUAAGGUGGGUAUUCUGAAUUGCUUGAUCCACCUCUACUUGCUUCGCACUGCAUUACUAGGUGAACCUGUGAAUAACCAAAUAACCCGUCAAUUUUCUUAUUUAAUAGUUCUACCUGACUAGAGAGCAUCAUGACUAAAUCAACGUUAAAAACGUCAGUUGUUUUAGUCGGCUUUGUCCUCAUUACUUGCCACUGAUAAUUAUUCAGUGAGAUCUCUUCUAUAAAUUCAUAAGCAUCUUCAGAUGUCCUAUUAUUGAUAGUCCCACCAGCGGAUGCAUCGAUAAGUUGCCUUGUUGAGGGGUUUACACCGUUGUAAAACGUCUGAACUUGCUGCCAUAGAGGCAACCCAUGAUGAGGGCACCUUCUCAACAGAUCUUUGUAUCUCUCCCAUGCAUCAUAAAGCGUUUUUAGAUUCAUCUGCAUAAAAGAAGAGAUAUCACUACGUAAUUUAGUCAUUUUAGCCGACGGAAAAUAUUUUAAUAAGAAUUUUUUAUUGUCAUUUGUUCCCAAGUAGUGAUUGACACUCGUGGUAACGAGUUCAACCACUGUUUAGAUUUGUUCCUCAAUGAAAAGGGAAAUAACCGAAGACGAAUGGAAUCAUCAGAAAUGCCAUUAAUUUUAAAUGUGUCGCAAAACUCUAGAAAAUUUGCCAAGUGAUUGUUCCUCAUCCUGCAAACUAUCAAACUAAACAAAUUGUUGUAUCAUUUGAAUUGUGUUAGGUUUUAGUUCAAAAUUAUUUGCAGCAACAGCUGGCCUAACUAUACUUGACUCAGUUCCUCUUAAAGUAGGUUUAGCAUAAUCAUACAUAGUACGCGGAGUAGGAUUCUGAUUAGCAGCAAUCGCAAGAGGUAGCGGAUUUUCCUGAUUUUCAGUCAUCUCCUCAGUUGUGGUGGAAAUAUCGUCCUCUUGCUCUUUCUCUGUGUAUCUUAGGCUUUGCCUUAUUUCUCUUCGAUUUCUGUGAGCUGUGCGAUCGAUCUCACUAUCAAAAAGUAAUGGUCCUGACGGGUUUCUUCUAGUCAUGCACUAUAAAAACUUGCCAUAAGCGAAUAAACGAAAAAUAAGAAUAAGAAAAUAAAAUAAAAAUUCAAAUUGCAACAAAAGUAAAAUGGCUAAAGUAAUAAAAAUUGAGUGUUCCUAAUAUCUUCGUUCCCCGGCAACAGCGCCAAAAACUUGAUACGUGAUAUUCGCGACAGGUUUUAAAAAUUUAUAAUUAAUCAUUCUUGAAACUAACUAUUAUCACGAUGAAGCCAAAUGUACCUAUCGAACAGCAAUAUAGCUUUAGCAAGACCGGAUUGUCAAACCUAAAGGAACCAAGAGUAUUAGUAAUUGCUUUCUUUUUAUUAUCUAGCCUAAAAAUUAAGGGAUUUGUUUAUCUAACUAAUUAACUAAACUAAGGGUGCACAGAAAGAAAAUUGGGGAAAAGCUUUUGGGAAAACUCAAUUGAUUAAGACAAUACCCAAGGAAAAAUCCACCUAGACUUCACUUGUUAUUUGACUCUGAAUCAGACGAUUUAUUCAUUUGACUUGAUCCGUAGAAAUCCCUAAGUUAUAUUAUUAUCUCUCUCGAGACUGAUAACGUCUAACCCUAGGUUGAUUAAUUGAAAUCUCUUUCUAAUUAACACCCUAGUGUUGCAUUAACUCGAUCUAUGGACUCCCUUAUUAGGUUUCACCCUAAUCCGGCAAAAUCUUGUCACCCUAUCUCUAAGCGUGCAAUCAACUCCGCUUAAUUAUGAAAAAUUUACUCUUAGACAGGGACUUUUGCUCCUCUGAAUAAGGGCAUUAACUUGAAUCAAUAUCUUGGAAGAUUAAACCAAGAAUUAAGAACACAUAAUUAAGAAUAAGUCAAAUAUUUAUCAUACAAUUCAGAUAAUAAUAACAAGAUCCGUCUUAGGUUUCAUUCCCCUUAGGUAUUUAGGGGUUUUAGUUCAUAAUUAUGAAAGAAAACAUCUCAAAAGAAAAAUGAUAACAAAAUAUAAAGAAAACCCAAAACUCCUGAAGGAAAUUGAAGGAGAUCCUCAGUCUUGACGAAUAAUCCAGAUUUUGAGAUGGAUCAAUUGGCUUUGCUUGAGUAAUUCAUUGCCUCCUACUCCCUGUGUGUCUUCUAAGUGCCUCCCCAGGUGUUUAAAUAGGCUUUAGAAUGCCUAAAAGCCCUCAAGAGUGGCCUUUUUCGAAUAAUACUGAACUUGGGCUCGACAGGGACACGCUUGUGUGACACGCCCGUGUGCGAUUGCUUCAGACCAUGGUCAAGGCUGUUAAAUAGGCACGGGCGUAUGGUCUAUCUGUGUGAGGAAGUCCAGGCCUUGUUAAUUUCCCAUGUUGGUCUAUUUUCUUCGUUUUCGGCCCAUUUCUUAUGCUCACCUAAGUAUAAAACAUGAAAUUAAAGGAUUAGGAGUAUCGAAUUCACCAAAUCUAAUGAUAAUUCAUCCAAAAAUAUGCUAAGCAUGAGGUAAGAAUAUGUAUAAAUUAUGGUUUAUCAAUGGACUAUCACAGAAGGUGUCAUAGGUUUCUCCAACAUGGGCUUAUACAUAAUUUCAUGUAUUGUGAUCUGCCAUUUCAAAUUAUACAUUAUCGAAGGCUACACCAUAAGCAUAUAUACAGACAUAUCUUGCAAUGGGUCUUAGCCAUAUAGCUUACACACACAUUCAUGUAUUGUAAUCUGCCAAUCCAAUCUUCAUCUUAUUAGAGGCUACACCAUGAGUGUUUCCAAAUCAAAGUAAGAUGUCAUGGGUCUCAACCUUAUAGUUUAUUCUUGUUUUCGUAUCGUGAUCUGCCAGUCUAGUUAGCAAUAUAACUGCCCUACCAGAGGCAUCAUAGAGGAAAAUUUGCUCAGCAUUUACUUCCCUAGAUGAUCACCUUUUUACUAGCUCAUACAUCUCCUACAUCAGACCUUACCUGCAUGCUUACCAAACAUUAUUCUUUUUAAUAGAAUUUAUACAUAUCAUCGUAGCACAUCUUUCAUCUUUGCUAAACUCAUAUUUAUACUAAUUUCUGUAGACAUCAUCAUCACAUAUAUAUAUGCUUCUUGUUUGAACAGUUCAUAUCAAAAAGUCAGGAUAGAGACCCACUUAACUCUCAUCUAUUGCAGUUCAAAGUUCUGGACUCAACCACCCUUCUCAAACCAACAGUAAAAACUGCUUACAAAACAUAGAAUCACCAUUAAAACUCAUUUACAUACAAAUUACCAUCAUCUUAAUCACUUUUCCGCUGCUAAUUAAUAAAUAAAUGUUGAGUAGUAAAUAAAUAAAAAAUUAACUAAGUUUUCAAAAAAAAAAAGUCACUGUGAUGAGAAGAAUAAGUUUUCAAAAACAAAAGUCACCGUGAUGAGAAGAAUGUCAAAAUUAAUUGGUUUUUGUUAACUCAUAUGUUUUUCUAAAAAUAGGUUAAGUUUUCUUCUGAAAUAAACAAAUAUUUUGAAAUGAUUGUUUUAUAAACUCCAAUCAUAGGCCAUCUUAGUGGUCGAUGUAAUCUCCCAAAUUCGGUUCUAACAUCUAGGUUGGGUUGGAGAGGUUACAAUAUAUAUAGAAGGAUUCAUCAAUAAUGGAAACUUGAAUACAAGCAAAGAAAGAAAUCAAUCAAUGUGAAUUACUAACAAGUUCAAAAGCAUAUAUUUGGAUUAUAUUUUGUAAAGUACAAGAAUGUCAAGGAAUUAGACAUUUUGUUUUGAUAGUGAUUAUAUUUUAUAUAUAUUUACUUUUAUGCACUUUCAUAUUGAGUUGAUCAACAGUUUUGAAACUUUAUAGAAAACUUCAAGGUAUCACUUGUUGCGUAAGUGAUAUUUUACUAAGGGUGCAUAAUUGGAGGCCUCCUAGAUAUGUGAAAAUAAUGUUUAAAAAUCCAUCAAAUAGUAAAAACAUAAAUGAAAUAGCAUAUUGAUAUAUAUGGUAUCUUGAGUGUUGAAUUAAACAUUCUUUAGUAAAAGAAUGUACAUUUUGCACAUUGUGGGUGUGUUGGUUUCUUAUAUAUCAAUUAAGCACAAAUUAAAGAAAAAUAAUAUAUAUCACCAUAGUGUUGUAAUAUUUUGUAAAAUUUGUAAAAUUAUAUAAGCAAAAAAGUUUACCUAUCUCGUUAAAUAAAACUCAUUGAGUUGGUUCUUAAUAUUGAAGAAUUAGAGUGGUUGACUUCUUUAUUCAUUUUAUCCAACUACAAGUUGGAUUAAAGUUGUGGAAAUAGAAUGGUUGAAAAUUUGUGUUAAUGAGAAUUAAAGUUGUGGCCACAACUGAUGCCGACUAUUUUCUAGAAACAGGGACUGAUGUCCAAAACAUGUAGUAAAAUAAAAUUUUAGACAUGUUAGCAUAUGAAUUUAUUAUAUUAUAGAUUCAAUGUAACACCCCUAUCCUAUCUCUGUUGCUGGAUUAGGAUUUCAGACUAUUACUAAGAAAAAUAGAACAUUUAACUUUCCAACAGAAACAAUUAUACAAUUAAAUACCAACAUAUAUCAAUUAAAUCUAAUCAUGGCAAAUAUUACACUUAUAGACCUUGAAUCGAGCCUAUGGAGCCCUAGAAAAAAUUUAGGAACAAUUUGGGAUCAAAUCGAAACAAAUCAAAACAUUUUGAAAAAAAUAUAAAAAUUUGGGAAAACAGGGGUCACACGGUUGUAUGGCCAAGUCGUGUGACAAAGCCUACACCGCGUAAACAUUAGAAGUCAAAACACUCAACUGUGUCCCAGCCUGUGUGUCUACUCAUGUGUAUAAUCGAAAUAGGGUCACACAGCUGUGCUGCAGACUGUAAACCGUGUGUGUAUUCGAAGUUAGGUCACACGACCAUGUGACCGACCGUGCCACAAACUGUUUUGAGACACACGGUCGUGUCACAGACCAUGUGAAAUAUGCACCUAAAAUAAUAAAUAUACACGACCAUGUGUGGUGACUAUGUGUGGCACAUGGUCGUGUGGUAGCUUGUGUCUCAGGCUGUGUGCUCCAUUUUUAACCCCUAAAUUAAGUUAAUCAAGCAUCAUUUCUUGCACAGCAAGACAUACCAUAUCUAACUAAUUUUACAUGGUAAAAAUCACAUUCAGAUCACCAAAUACAUACCAAAAUUUCAUUCAUCCUAUGUCUAACCAAUAUACCAUCAAAAGGCAUCUCAAUCCAUACAUUCAUUCAACUCAAGAACAAAGUUACAAUAAAGGAACAAGUUUUAUCAUUAGUUAACCAUUCAUGCCUAAAACCACCAAUCUAAUUGACGAAAAUAUGGGCAUACUCAACAAGCAACCAUUUCAAAACAUCAUCACCAAAUCUUUAUAUACCAUUUAGGAUCAACUUAAUUAUAUCCAACACAAGUACACAUCCAAAACAAAGCACAUCACUAGAAAUACCAAAAUAACUUAACGAUUUACACAUCAACAAUAAGACACCACAUCCCAAAAUGAAAUACAAAAGCUACCGAGAUGGCUGGAUAGUGUGUGCUCCAAAACAAUUCGUCUAGUCAGUCCAUAAAACGCCAACUCAACCAAUAUAGAUAAACAAAAAAGAUAAGUUCUAAUUCUUGAUAUUCAAAUGCAAGAUCACACCACAUUAGUAUAUAUUUAUUUACAUCAUAAAUGAUACCUUCCAAAAGUCAUAACCAAUUCAUCAUCCAAAAUUUCUCAAUACAACCAUUAACAUUUAUAAAACAAAAACUUCAUAGAAACAUUUAUCAUUUAGUAGUAAUAUAACUAUCCAACAAAAUUGAACAAAUAAAUGAGUUUUAAGUCAUUUGAUGCAUAUCCCGCUGAACUAUAGUAACUAGACUCGGAUACUCAAUGAUGCAUAACAGAGGCACCAAAGUGCAAACAGAGGAAGGAAUAUGCAAUCAAAGGCAUUGAAGUGCAAACAAAUGCACCAAAGUGCAAACCCGUACAAGCGCACAUUAAAACCCUAUUGGCAUACUAAUCGUAUCCUAAUCAUUUACUAUGUUCAAUGGGGCAUUAAGAAUGGGGCAUUAUACUUAAAAUCGCAAUACCAAUAAAUCCAUCAUUUAGAGGCACUUCUUAUUUCCGUACACAUAAUAACAAUAAUUACCAUCAUCAAACAUUCAUUUUAUAUUUGUACUUAAUUACAAAUUUUAAUAAUAUAUAAGUAACUAAUGAAAUUUCCCAUAUAUACCAUUAACUAGAAAAAAAUAAUAUAAUCAUAAAGAGAUACACAUAUACAUAUUAUUACAUUAUGAACUUACCUGCAAUCCACUUCCAAAUAAUAUACAGGGACUACUCCGCAAUUUUUCUCUUUCCUCGAUUAUUGUCUUUUUGACUCGGUUCUUGAUCUAUAUAAUAAUUAAAUUUAAUUUAUUAAAUUUACAUAAUUUAAAAAUCAAUUCAAUGCAUGACACCCUUAUGUUUUCAUUAUUUUCACAUUUUCCUUAAACUUUUACAUUUCUCACAAUUUAGUCCCUAAACCCGAAAUUCCAAAAUUUAACAAAAUUUUACAAUUUUCCAUGCUAGCCGAACUUCUUUCUAAACUAGUACAAUCCCCAAUUAUUUACAAUUCACAAAAUUUCUAUGCAAAUUUUAAUUAUUUACACAUUGAUCAUUAAACUCAAAAUUAACACAAAUUCUUUUACAAAAAUAUCCUAAUCAACAUUCAAAUAUAUACAACUACCAUUAAAAAUCAUGAACACCAAAAUUCCAUUACUAACCAAUCCCUAAAACUUCAACAUUUUUAUAAUUUCAUCCUCAGGUUUAAUAGUUUAAGCUACAACGAGUUCAAAAAAUAUAAAAAUUAUUAAAUAUGUGAGAGAGAAACACUUACAUGCACCAAUUUGCUAACCGAAACUUUAAGCUCAAAAAAUGGAGUUUCUUUUUUUCUUUUUCUUUUUUGGUAGGAGAGAGUUGAGAAGAUGAUGAUACCAUAUUUUAUCUUUUGUUUCUUUUCUUUAAUUAAACUAAUUACCAAAUUAACCUUUUAAUCUGAACUAAAUUAUUAACAUAACAUGACCAUAAUUUUCCAUUAACUAACCAUAAGGUUUAUCUAUCAAUCAAGUCCAUUAUUUUAGUUUUUCUUUAAAAAUCAAGCACAUUUAACUAAUAAAAGCUACUUUAGCAUAUUUUACAAUUUAGUCUUUUUUACUAAAUUAACUAACUAGACAUUAAAAUUUCUUAUCCAAAUUUUAAUACGACUCAAAUAUAACUCUAUAAACAUAAAAUAAACAUAAAAUACUAACUCACUUGUUGGAAUUAUGGUCCUGAAAUAACCAUUUUCGAUACUACUGAAAAAUGGGAUAUUACAUUCAAUCUCUAAUUUAUGCUAAUGAAUGUGAGAGAAUAAUUUUCUUUGUAUAGUAAUACUACAACUAGAAUGUGUUUCGAUCCUAUUCUUAGAAACUGAUAGUAGAAACCCAACUUUUAAUUAGAAACCUCUUGUUUUAAAGUUCAAUGGGUAAAAGCAAGUUAUCGUUAUAUGUCUGUGAUACACUAGUAAAACUCAUUAUAGAAAAAAAAAGUUUAAUGGAAACUAGUGUUAUCCAUUGCGUAUAGAGGAUGAAUUUGAAUACUAUUAAUGAAGUUCAUUGUUUAUUGUUUAAAUGUCUAAAGCAAGGGAAACAUUAAAAGAACUCUACCUAUAUAAACAUAAGAAGUGAUGCCACUUCAACAAGUAAAGGUAGGGUCUCUCUUGUAAAUGUUUAUUAUGAACAAGAUAAGCACAUGAUCAUUUUAGUGCUAAAAGUGAACAACCUCUGAUAGAAAUAUAAAUGAAUAUUAUGUGUAGUGUAUUUCAACUUCUAAUACUAGGAGUUGUGGUUCAAUCUUCGGACACCAACGACUUAUUAGAACUUUGAAAAGCAUCCGCUAAUUGAUGGUUCAUAUUGAGAGAUAUCAUCUUAUAUGCAUAAUAUUUGUUGGAGUGAAUGGCUAUAAAGUAUGGUACCAACAUUUAAACUAAGGGUGAUUGUUAGUAGUUUAUAAUGUUGGCAGUAAAAAUAUUUUAUUAUGUAGAAAAGUCUAAUAACUUAUAAUUAUUGGCCAAAUAAUUGUGUUGUAAAGAGAAUUUUUGUAUGUAAAGUUGUCUUAUAAACUUUAUGUAAAGUUGUGUUGUAAAACAACACAAUUAUAUGAAAAGGUAUCUUAUUAAAAGAUAUAUUCAUAUUAAAGGGUAUCUCAUAAAAGAUACAUCUAUUGGAUGUCUAUAUAAAAGACUUUUCUAUUAGUCAUUUAAAUUGUUUUACUUGGAGUGUUGAGGCCUUUAUUGUAUCUUGAAGGUAUUUUAAAAUCUUAAAGAAAGUGCUCUACAUGCCUCAAAGUCGUUAUAUUUUAUAACAUUAUUUUAUUUUUCUAACUUCUAUUUUCCUAUUAUUUAUUUUUCUAACAGCCAGAAUAUAGAAAAAUUAUUAUGUUUCUAACUAUAUAUUAAAUACGAGUACUACUUGGAAGCCAGCACCCACAAACAUGAUAAAAGUUAAUUUUGAUGAGAGUUUUGACGUGGAAGCAAGAAAUGAGGAAGAGGGUAGUUAUGCAGCAUUGUGAUGGUUUUUUAGUCCGACUACGCAACCAUCCAAUUUAGGGUGCGUUCUACAUUAAGGUGAAAAAGCACUUAAAAAGAACAUUUGGUUUUUACACUUAAAAGUGUGAUGGAAAAAUACUUUUUCAUUCAAAUACAAAAAUUAAGAUAUAAAUGCUUUUGACUUUUAGCUUUUACAUUAGAAUGUGAAAAUUAUCAAAUACUAUUAUUUAUAUUAACUAUUUAAAGUGUAUAUAAAAAUUAGAUUAAUUUAUAUUUUAUAUAUCAUUAUAUUAAAUUAUUUAAAUAUUAUUUAUUAUUAUAUCUUUUAAUAAUUUAUAUAUCAUCUAUUUUACAAAUAAUUUAUAUUAAUUACUUCAAAAAUAUUUGGAACUUAUAUUUCAUGUACCAUUAUAUUAAAUUAUUUAAAUAUUACAUAACUUAAAAUGUCCUUUUCUUUAGACAUGAUAGACUUUUAACGGGAAUUUUUUGUAGUAACGGAGAACACCAAAAACUAAUGAGUACAUUUUUUCAUAGCACUUUUCUACCACUUUUCAACUACAACGGUAAUGGAGAACUAAUCCUUACUAAAGUUACCGAAGCACUAGCUUCCACUGUAGCCAUUGAAAUGGGGCUCCAAUUGGGAUUGCAACACAUUAUUAUUAAAAGAGAUGCUCUCUAAGUGGUUUCGAAGUUGAAGGAAGACAAAGAAGACCUACCAACAAUCGGACCUUGAUAGCAAAGAGUUGAAUACUUGCUAAACAGGUUCAGCAAUGUAGGUUUCAACAAAGAAAGAGGCAUGCUAAUGAGGUGGCACAUCAUCUGGCCAAACAGGGUGCAAUGCCCAAUUUCUGCCCGGGCCUAAUCAAAACAGCCCAAAGCAGAAAGCCCAAUUUUUCUAGACCUAGCCCACAACUAUUUUCAGCACCACCAUGCACCCAUUUUCUCCACCACUCUUCCACUCCAGAACACCCACGAACGGUUUCCCUCCAUGCCAUACAUACCUGCAAAAUAGAUUAAUGACUCAUAGCAGUUGACAGUAGAAAGAAAUAACAACAGGAAACGGUUUUGUACUUGGCUAUAAAGCCUUUGAAUUUUUCAUUGUUUGGUUUUUUUUUCUUUCUUUUUUUUUUCAGAGAGAUUGUACACGAAAUACAUACAAAAAUCAAUAGAAAGCAAUUCAAAGGUGAUUUAUCGCUAUUUAUUGUGUUUUUUUUUUCAAUUGGGUUUACAUACAAGUAUAAAAUAUAAGAGAGAACGAGAGGCUUACCGGAGUUAUAUCGCAUUCACGCCGUCGGUAGGACUAGCUCCGUUGGUCACGAACAGAUUUUGGGAGUGGUUGGGGGCUUGAAAGGAGCCUUUCGGCUGGAGAAUAAAGGGAGAGUGAGGGAGAUGAUAUAAUAUCCAAGGCAUUUAGGGUUUUUUUUUUUAAAUAAAAGUUAAAAAGUUUUCUUUUAAGCACAAUUUUUAAAGCGGGUUUUAGGUGAUAAGAAUGAAACAGCAUGGGGAAGGGAAAGGAAUAGCGUGUUUAACUUGGUCCACGUGCAUUUACCCCUUAAAUGGGUAAUUUUCGUUAUCAGUCCUCCUUACUUGCGUCACCCUUUAUUUGAUCCUAUUCUGUUUCUUUUAUUUUUGCCUUGAAUUUUGCGCACCGUUCCAAUUUAGUCCGAGCAUGAGUGUUGCUUUUUUGGGGUUGGGAACAUUUUCAAUUUUAGCCCUUAUACAUUCACGCGCAUUGCGCUUUGGUCCCUAUUUCAAUUUCAAUGGUUUUUUUAUUUGUUAAUUGUCCCUUUAAUUUUGCUUUUCUUCCAAUUAAGUUUUUAUUUAUUUUUUCCAUAAAAUAAGAAUAUAUUAUUUUAACAUAUAGUUUUGUUCAACAAAAUUCAUAUAUAUUUUUGUAUAUAUUAUUUUAACAAAAUAAGAAUAUAUUGUUUUCUUCAUAUGCAUAUUUAUUUGUUUUUUCUUCCAAAAUAAUUUCAUAUAUCAUUUUGUAUUUAUAUACUUUACUUAUAUUAAGUUUGCUUUAUAUCAUGUAUAUACGUAACUUAUACUAAGUUAUCUUUACUCUAAGUGUACAUUAUUGACUUCCUUUUAUUUUAUGUAAAUAUUUCCUUUUAUUUUAUUUUUUUAUGUAUAUUAUUGAUUUUAUGUUAUUUUAUGCUUGUUUAUUUUCUUCUAAGGACCCUAUUUUAAAUGGUAUAUUUUAUUUAUUUUCGUAUGCUAGUACCUUUGUUUUUUUUAUGUAUAAAUUUUCAUUUCAAGUAUUAUUUAUUUAGAUUGACAAAUACUAUGCUAUGUAUUACUUUUUUUAUAUAUAUACAUUAUGUGUCUUGAAAUAUCGUUUAUAUAUUAUUAUGUCGUACAUUAUUUUUAUUUUUAUUAUUUUUUGACCUAUUCCAGACUGUCAUAUAUGUUACCUUAAGAUUUUUAUACAUUUGUUUGAUUGCAUACUAACGAUUCCAAAUUGCAUUUCUUCUAUAUUAUCUAUAUUAUUUGUUAAAACUUGCCACAUACUUUUAUCUCAUGUACAAAACUAAGCUUGUACACAUGUUAUUGCAUCAUGAUCUUUAAAUUCCAACUCUUUGCCCAACAUCAAUCGUUUUUUAUCCCCAAGCAAACCAAACAAGUAUUUUUAAUUCGGUUUUUAUAACUGUUAAUUUAAAAAUUUCCCAAAACAAAGGCAAUGUUUGAUGUUUGAAAUUUUGGAAAUCGUGCCCUAACGUACUGGGUUUCGAUUUUUCGUUUAUCCAAAAUAAUCAAGUAUCCCCUUUAAAGUUUCGUAUGUGUUUUCUAAACUUCAAAACAAGGCAAUGUUCUAUGUUUUGGAAAUCCGAGAAAUCGUGCCCUAACGUGUUGGAUUUCAAUUUUUCGUUGGACCAAAUGAUCGAGUAUCCUUUUGAAAUUUCAAAUAUAUGAGCUUUUGGAAAUUAAGACUCGGUUGUGGUUUCGAGGGUUUAGAAAGUUAUGUCUUAACGUGCUGGAUGUGAUAUUUUAUUCCUUCAUAACAAAAGAAUUCUUAAUGACCAAUUUGAGUUAUUCAAAUAUUUUAAAAGAAAUAGUAUUUCAAAAUAUCUUUUAAAUUUUAGACAUAAGGACAUUGAUUAAUCAAUUAGGUACCAAUUUUGGGCGUCACGAGGGUGCUAGCCCUUCCUCGUGCGUAACCGACUCCCGAACCCUUUUUUCUCGACUUACGUAGACCUGAAAUUAUUGUUUUAAUAAAUCAAAAUGUUUUAUUAAAAUGAUCAAUUUCAAGGUGAUCCGAUCCCACCUCAGAAGGGAUCGGUGGCGACUCCAAACUUUGAUUUUUCAAAGUCGAUCCCCGUUUUUUUCAAACUUUUAGAAAAUGGUUUCGACACAAGGCCUUAAUUGUUUUCCAUCUUUUGUUCAUAUGUUUGUUUUGAAAAGGUAAAACAAAUCCUCACCUAUUGAUGUUAGAACGGUUGAAUUGCUAAAAGCAUGCUGCGUGCAUAACCAUGCUUUAGGUUAGGCUUCAAAUCAAAUAAAUUUUAAAUUAUUUUUAUUUGAAUUUAAUUAUAAAAAUAUAUUAAUAUCAAUAUAAAAUUAUAUACAAUUUUAAGAUAUUUUAUUUUUCAAUAAUAAAACGAAUCAUCUACCAACCCUAAUUCUUCAGUUUUCUUUUUAAUUAGAUGAUAACUCAAGCCAAGCUAACCAAUAAACACCCAAAAUCUACCAUCAUUUUCAUUUUUUUUUCUUUUGUCACAAAGUAGACAGAAGAUUCGGUUUGGAUAAGCUCUACGUUAUUAAGUCAAAAGCUGAAGUAAUUUUAAUCAUAAAUUGUUUUAUUUGUUUAUAAUGCAAAACAAUGACCCAAUUAAUACAAUAAAGCUUUAACUUUGUGGGAAUUUUCAGUCCAAAAAAAAAAAAACAAUUUGUGGAAAUUUUAGAGCAGUUGACCAUUUCUUCCGAAUUAGUUUUCUCACUUCUUGUCCAUAUUCCAUGUAUAUUAUUUCAAGAAAUUAGGUUUAGAAAAUUGCAUAAUUCAACCAUUGAACUAAUAAAUAUUAAAGAAAAAUUGGGUGGCAAAAAUAUCUUAUUAAAAGCGAAUCAUAUACUAUUAAUAGAUUUUAUGAUUAAAUUAGUUUCACGUGUUAACGGGAUAUUAACUUGAUUUAGUAAAUUAUAAAAAUGUCUUUUAAUGUUUAAAAUAAAUUAUAUUAUUUGAAGAUAUUUUAAUUUUUUUAUUAAAAAAGGAUGAUGUCUCAAAUUAACUCACAAUCUAAUUUAAUUUUUUAUUUUAAUAUCGUAAAUGUUUCAUGUUUUAUUAUUAAUUUGUUUCAAAUUAUACAUUUCAUUAUUUAUUUUAUGUUAUUUUUAAACAUAUUUGUGUUCUAAAUACCAAAUUUUCACUUAAGGGUAUCAGAGACGAAUCUAGAGAGGCUAGUAGGGGCCCCGGUCUCCUUAAAAUGAAAAUUAUUAUUUAAGCCCUUUAGAAAAUUUUAAAAUUUUAAAUUAGUAAAUGUAAAAUUGCACUUUGACCCCCUAAAAUUAUAAAAAUUUAAUUUAAUCUUUUAAAAAUUAUAAAGAUAUAAACUAGUAAAAAUUAAAAUUUCAUUUCGAUCCUCCCUAAAACAUAUUUUUGGCUUCACCUAAAGGGUAUGACUAGUAUGAAUAAUUUUCUUUGGAAGUCUUAAACAAACAGGAGUUAAGUAAAAAGGAGUUUUCAUACAUACAUAUUCGGCGUUGAUGUUUCCCUUUCGAAAAUUUAAAUUAAGACAUAGGAAAAGAAACUAAAAUUGAGCUUAAUUUAUGCAGUUGGGUUCAAAAUUUAAUAUUUAAAUAUAAAAAUUCUAAUAAUUCGAUCUGGUCCGUUUCAUCUAGCAGACUAAUAAUAAAUCUUAAAACAUAUUAUAUUUUAAUUUUAAUAAAACCAAAACUGAUACAUUUGACCUACAUCUACAUGUGAUCUAUGCUUAAUUAAAUUAGUCUAAAUUAGACGAGAUCUUGAUUAGGAGUCAUUUAUUUAUAUUAUAAGUCCCUGAAACAUGCAAAACUUACAUUUAAAAAUUAAUAUUUUUACGUUGUUGUUAGAAUAUAGGGUUUGUUAAUGUUUUCGUGUGAAGUCAGCUGUUGACAUUACCAACCAGAUAAUGAAAAGGGAACAUGGCAAUUAUUCCAUCCUAAUUGUCACACACACACACACACCUAAUUAAGUUAAUCCAAAAAUUACCUAACGUUUAGCAUUUCAAUGGUAGAGUCAGCUCUUUCUUCUAGUCUAUCAAAAAAAAAAAAUCAAUUUAACCCCUAACUCUUGGAUGGAAAAGUUUUUGCUAUGAACUUGUUGAAGUGAAUCUAAUGUGAUAUAAACACAUCACAAUCCAUGUGUGUAAUUAAAAAUAAUAGAGAGAGAUUGAAUAAUUUAAAGGGAAAAAAAAAGAAUUUACUCCCUCCACUAACAGGUAACUCUUGCAGCUUGAAUCUACAACGUAUGUAUGAAAGUGAACACCUUUAAUUAAUGAAUAAAUACUAAAGUUCUAGGUUUAGAAUUAAUUAAAUAUCAAUACAAAAAGUUAAUUACUUUUUGAAAUAAGGAUAAAUCGGUUUUUGAGGUUUGAUAAUUUUUCACAUAUCGAGGUUUGAAUUUUUUUAUCUUAAGUUCUAAACUUGACAAUAGUUCUCAAGAUGUGAAGGUUUUUUUUUUAUCCAAAUUAGGCUAUGAACUUAGAUAGAAAUCUUAAAAUUCAACCCUAAUGUAGGUAUAAUUGUCAAGUUAAAAAAAAUUCAAAUCUUAAUAGAAGAAUAAUCUACUAAUUGGUAACCCUAAUAUAAAAACAAUUGUUAAGUUGAAAACUUAAUUUUUUUUAAAAAUUCAAACCCUUAUUAACUUUAGGAUUUAACCCUUUGAAAUAUUGCGUUAAUUAAUAAGUGUAAGAAUUAUUUUGUGUUAAUGAUUAAAUAAAUAUUUAAGUGGAGAUCAAGUUUUACCUCAUUUGUCAAUUGUCAGGUGAAGAAUAUAUACCCUAAAGGCCUAUCAAAAACGGACCUAUCUCUAUAUAUCUUUACUAAUUUACUAUUCAUUUUUAAUGAAAAGCAAUAAAUUAAUGAAAACGCUAUAAAACGAAAACUACAUGAAUAAAUUAUAUGUGUAAAAUUGAAAUAUUUCGUGACGACAUUAUUGAAAAAAAUAAUCAUUAACCUUAAAUAUAAACAAUUAUGACAUUUCUAUAAAAUAUCAUUUAAUAUAUUGCAUCAAAGUUUUAAAAAAUGUUAUGUGUAUACUUUUACCUCGUAUAAAAAAGUCUUUCAUUUCUCAAUUCUUAUGGCAUAGUAAAUUUAUUAUUAAUUUUUAAAAAAAAUGGUUAUUAUUUGUGUAUUAAAUAAUUAUUGGGAUAAAUUUUAAAGUUGUACAUGGAUUUUGGUUACAUGUUAAUUAUAAACAUUAACUUUGAUUUUAUAUAAUUUUAUAUAUGAAAUUUUAAUUUGAUCCAAUUCUCAUAAAUUAUUAACAUAAUUAUUGAUAUAAUAUCAUUUUAUGUUUAUAUGCUAUAUACAGAAAUAAUUAUAUUUAUUCAAUAUAAAAAUUAAUUGAUGUAUUUAUUUCUUUAAACGUAUAUGAUUGAAUCAAAAUUAAAACAUCAUGUAUACAUUUGAACCAUAACUAAAAUUUUACAUAUAUAAUUAUACAAAAUUACAAUUCAUAUACGUAAUAAACUAAAAUUCAAUUUUUUUAUAAAAUUAACCUAAAAAAUUUAAUUAAUUACAUAAAUGACCCUUUUUUUUAUUAAACACGUAAAUGACCUAAAAUCUACCGUGAAAAUUGGUGGAAGCAAAGAGUUUGGCACCACCAACAUGCCACGUCAGCAACCAAGAUAAAAAAAAUCAACUUUUUGGUAGAGCCAUGCAUAAUAGUGCUACUUGUAUAAAUAUCAGGAAAAUACUAUAAUUUCUAAAAAAUAAGGGACUUUAAUAAAAAAAAAUUCUAUUUUCUGGUGGAGCCAAAUAAAUUGGCGCCACCAGUUUCCAAUGUGAUUUUUUUUAAAGUUUUCUAAAAUUUUAAAUAUAUUAAAAAAUGUUAAGUAUAAUUAAUUUUAAAAGUUUAAUAUAUUUAAAAAUUUAAUAUACUUAAUAUAUAUUUUUAAUAGGUAAAGAAAAAAAUGAUUUUUUAAUAUAUUUAAAAUUUUAAAAAACUUAAAAAAUUUAAAUACUUUAAAAAAUAUUAAGUAUAACUAAUUUUAAAAUUUUAAUAUAUUUAAUAUAUUUUUAAAAUAUUUUUAAAAUUUUUAAUAUAUUUAAAUUUUUUAAAGUUUUUUAAAAUUUUAAAUAUAUUAAAAAAAAUUUCCUCAUUACCUAUUAAAAAUAUAUUAAAUAUAUUAAAAUUUUAACAUAUAUUUUUAAAAUAUAUAUUAAAUAUAUUAAAAUUUUAAAAUUAGUUAUACUUAACAUUUUUUUAAUAUAUUUAAUUUUUUACUAUUUUUUAAAAAUUUUAAAUAUAUUAAGAAAAUAUUUUUUAUAUUUACCUAUUAAAAAUAUAUUUUAAGUAUAUUAAAUUUUUAAAUAUAUUAAACUUUUAAAAAUAAUUAUACUUAACAUUUUUUAAUAUAUUUAAAAUUUUAGAAAACUUUAAAAAAAAUUACAUUUGAAACUGAUUGGCUCCACCAGAAAAUAGAAAAUUUUUAUUAAAGUCCCCCCAUUUUUUAGAAAUUAUAAUAUUUUUUUGAUAUUUAUACAAGUGGCGCCAUUCUACAUGGCUCUAUCAAAAAGUUGAUUUUUUUUAUCCUGGUUGCUGACGUGGCAUAUUGGUGGAGCUAAACUCUUUACCUCCACCAAUUUUCACAGAAAAUUUUAAGUUAUUUAUGUGUUUAAUCAAAAAAAUAGAUCAUUUAUAUAAUUAAUUAAAUUUUUUAAAUUAAUUUUAUAAAAAAAACCCUAAAAUUCAUAUAUAUAACUGUAAGAUUUAUGUCCACAAUUAUCUAAAGCUAAUCGGUGAUAAUUACUAUGGAAAUUCAAUGUACUUAACUAAUUGAUUGAUAGGAACAAGCAUGAUGAAAUCCAUGAUUGGGAAGAGAGAGAAUUCAAAAACUGAACGCCCCAUUAAUCCAUGCGAAUAAACUUUUUCGGUAUACAUCAUAAUUCAUUUAAUUUUAUCAUUAUCUCUAUGCUAUAAUUAUGUUUAAACUAAAAUACUUGAGACAUUAAUAGUUUGUGUUAUAUAAAUUAUGAUAUCCAUAUAUCCAUAUUAUAUAUAUAUUUUUAUAUUAUGAAUGCAUUUAAAAAAAAAUUAUGAAAAAUGUAGAGUCCGCAAAUAAAAAAUGGCUUACAAAUUAACAGAAAACCAAUUUUAUUUCUUGUAAAUUGAUUUACCAUAUUAAAAAGUGUAAAUCUUUUUUUAAAUUUAUUUACGAGUAAUUUUAUUUUUAUAAAAAUUAAUUUUAGCCAAGCCUAAUAUUAUUUUAUUAAUAAUAUUAUUUUUAUUUUUAUUUUUAAACAAUUUAAAAUUAUUAAUAUCAAAUAUUAUAAUGUUGAAUCCUAGUAACAUACAUAUUAAAUUAUUUAUAUUAUGUUAUAUUACAAUUUUAUUUUAAUAAUAAAUUUUAACAACAAUAAUUUUAAAUUUUAAAUCGUAUUUUUAAUAUAUUAUUGAAAAAUAUUUAUAUUAAUAUUUUAAUAAUAAAUAUAUAUUAAAAUUUAUAAAUAUUUAAUAAUAAAUUUUUUAUAGUAUAAAAUAUGAAUAUUUUAAUUAUAUAGAUAUGAGUAUUUGUUUAAAUCAUGCUUAAGUUCAUUUAUCUCCCAACUCUAAUGUGUCAUUAUACACUGUCAUAUAUAUAAUAUAUGUAAUUUAAGCAUUAUUUAUUAUUAAAUUUAUAUAUGAUAUUAAUUAUAAUAAAAUAUUAUCUUAUUAUAAAAGAAAUUCCAAUUGUCAAAAAGAAAUGUUACUCUAAUAUUUUGUAAUAAGUAUAUUUAUAUUGUAUUUGUUUCACUAAUAACAAAUUUAAAAUGAUUUUAGAAAAAAAUAUCAAAAAAUAAAAAAUAUUUUAAUCAAAAUAAUUCAAAUAAAAAAAACUAAACUUUUCCAUGAAAUCAAUCCAAUUUUAAGAAAACAUUAAAAUUGUUUUAGGUGAAACAAAAGGAACCUAUAUUUUAUAUAGUAUUUGAAAAGUUGUUGUAUCUAGAAUUAUUAUCUUUAAUUUUUUUUAGGUCUAUUUCUAAUUUUCAAAAAUUGAGAAGUUAAUUUCUCUAUUUUACUUUAUCAGUCCGUGCUUAUUUUUUAUUAAUUUGUUGUGUAUAAAUGGUUAAACUAUUGAUUUUUGUUAAUUACUAGCAUGUAAAUUGUUAAACUACUUGUUCCCAAGUCAACAGUAAAGCUUAAUAGUAUUAUCAAUUUGGAAUAAUUUCUGAGAUUUUUCUUUUAUUUUGCGUGAUUAAGAUAUUUUUCAUGUACGGUUUAAGGUUUAUGAAGACUAAUCCUUUCGAGUUUAUAACUACCCUUUUUAAUAAUGUCGUCUUUAAAAUUCGAGUUCUCUUUCUUGUAAGUACAAUAUGCCUUACAUUUAUAACUAAUACUUCUUAUUUUUGUAAAAUAUAAGAAUCAAAUUAUGUAGUAAGAUUAAUUUCUAGAUUUUUUAAAUUUAAAAUUUAACAUUUAAAAUAUUAUCAAUCACAUCACACACAAAACCAAAGAGCAAGAGAAUCUAAAAAACACGUGGACCAUUAAUUUAGGAAUGGACAGAAACUCAUGCAAAAUGGUUGGAAAACACGUACAGGAUUAUAUAUACUAAUCAUUUUUAUUAUUAAGCAGAAUUGGAAAUAAAUAAAUACGGGCGAAACCACUGAAUAAUACAGCAUUGAAAUGCAAUUUGUCUACAUCAUUAUUGUUCUUCACUUCAAACGCGGAGACUAGUCUAGGGUCCCAAUCUUUUGCUUUAUCUCUCUAGAUAUAUCCUUUUCAAACUAUCUUUUUGUAGCUUUAUUUGCAUCACAGCAUUAUCUUUUCCUGCAAACAACUGUUUAAAGAUUAAAACAUGCAAAACAUUCUGAAAUAAUGCACCCUGACCAGAUGACAAAAAAAAAAGAGGAUUCUAAUGUAUCUUACCUUGGAUUGGAGCACGGUCAAAGCCGUGGCUUAGUAGUGGUGAGGAGGAGGGGGUGAAGCGUAGACAUAAUGGGGUGGGGGUGGAGGAGGAGACUUGUAUUUGUAAACUGGAGGAGGAGGUGGUGGAGACUUGUACUUGUAAGGGUGCUUGGGGGGUGAUGGUGGGGGUGGUGGGGGUGACUUGUACUUGUAGGGGUGCUUGGGUGGUGACGGUGGGGGUGGGGACUUGUACUUGUAAGGGUGCUUGGGGGGUGAUGGUGGUGGUGGUGGAGGUGACUUGUACUUGUAGGGGUGCUUGGGUGGUGACGGUGGUGGUGGUGGGGGGGACUUGUACUUGUAGGGAUGCUUUGGUGGGGAUGGUGGUGGUGGUGGUGGGGACUUGUACUUGUAGGGAUGCUUAGGUGGGGAUGGUGGUGGUGGUGGAGACUUGUAUUUGUAAGGAUGCUUUGGUGGUGAUGUUGGUGGAGGUGGUGGGGACUUGUACUUGUAAGGGUGCUUGGGUGGUGAUGGAGGUGGAGGUGGUGGAGACUUAUACUUGUAAACUGGAGGUGGUGGGGGUGGAGACUUGUACUUGUAGGGGUGCUUGGGUGAUGAUGGAGGUGGAGGUGGUGGAGACUUAUACUUGUAAACUGGAGGUGGUGGGGGUGGAGACUUGUACUUGUAAGGGUGCUUGGGUGGUGAUGGUGGGGGUGGGGACUUGUACUUGUAGGGGUGUUUAGGUGGUGAUGGUGGUGGUGGUGGUGGGGACUUGUACUUGUAAGGAUGCUUGGGUGGUGAUGGUGGUGGAGGUGGAGGAGACUUGUACUUGUAAGGAUGCUUGGGUGGUGAUGGUGGUGGAGGUGGUGGAGACUUAUACUUGUAAACAGGAGUUGGUGGGGGAGGAGAUUUGUACUUGUAAGGUUUCUUGUGUGGUGGUGGUGGAGGAGAGUAGACCGGAGGAGGCGGUGGGGGAGACUUGUAAUGGUAGGGUGGUGGUGGGUAUUUCUUAGGAGGUGGUGGAGGAGAAGAAUAAGUGUAAUCUGCAGAGGUUUCAAAAGGCAAACUGAGAGACACUGCUAGAACUAAAAGAGUGAGAAAGAGAGAGGUCAUUGAUGACCCCAUUUCCCCCAACUUUACUUCUAAAAAUGGGUUUAAUUUGGUUUAUGCUCGUAGACACCCUCUUCUCUCCCUUUAUA
rnacentral:lncRNA from 1 species